rnacentral:lncRNA from 1 species
GGCUGCCCUCCUCAAGGCCGUGCCUGCUCCCUGGCCCCGGCCCGGCCGCUGCUUUGCACUCACGCCCCGCUGCCUCACUGCCUCACUGCCCCGCGGCCCCGCUGCCCCGCCCCCACCCCGCUACUUCGCUACACUUCUCUGUACCAAUCCUUGCAACCCCCCGCAGGCUGCUCGCGGCAUGGAGUACCUGCACGGCCAGUUCGUGGUGCACUUCGACCUCAAGUGCGACAACCUCCUGUGCGACCUGCGCGACCCCAGCAGGCCCACCGUCAAGAUCGGCGACCUGGGGCUGUCCAAGGUGAGGAGGCGGGGAGGGAGGAGGCGGGGGAGGGAGGAGGCGGGGGAGGAGGCUGGGCAGGAGGUGGGGGACGGGAGGCGGGAAGGAGGCAGGGGAGCAGGCGGGGCCAGCAGCGGCGGGGUGCGGGCGCAAGCGUGUGUUUGUCUGCCGGGAAGGCACAUUGGCGUGUGUGCGCAUUGUUUUUGUGUUGCUGAAGAAUGGGGAGGGCGGAGCGAGGGUGACGGGGCUAAGGGCGCCUGAGAGGGAGCUGACGGAGGCGAGAGAAUCAACUAGCAGUCCGAGCAUGUGCACUCGCAGGCGCACGUUGCUUCCCUCGCCGCCACCUUGUCGGUCCGCCGCCACCCCUACGAUCUACCAUUUCUCGAAUUGAUCACGAAUGUACCCCACCCACCCCCCGUCUUGCUUUCCACCCCGCAGAAGAAGAAGGACAGCUUCGUAAGCGGCAACAUGCGCGGCACACUGCCGUGGAUGGGUGAGUGCGACCCGAACCGCCCCAAGGGUCCGCCCUUCAUUGCGAUUCUGUGAAUGAGUAUACACACAGGGGCGCGCGUGCCCAUGCUCCCCACCUUUCGGCGCCACCGUCUCCGUCUCCGGAUCUUCCUGGGCAGGGUGGAUACGUCCCCCGCAGGCCCACACCCUAGCGUAUUUCCUCUCCUUGCCUCUGCAAUCUCCCUUGCUACAACUGCGCUUCUUCCUUAUUUAUACAUGAUUGUCAACCCCCCAAACCCCAUCCGCAGCUCCCGAGCUGUUCCCUGGUGUUCGUGAGAAGGCGCGCAAGGAGCAGCAGGCCGGUGGGCCCGACACCGAGCUGGCUGACGACCGCGUGAACGAAAAGGUGUGUGCGGGGAGCUAGGGAUGCAUGCGGGAAGCUAUUCUAGCUACAGUAUGCUUGGGGCUAGCUGUGUGGGGAAGUUAGCGGUGUUGUGUUUGUCCUGUUCAGAUAACUCGGGAGGUGAAUGUGGGUGCUGGCCCCGGUGCCGCGAGCUGCCCUGCUAUGUGCGGGGGCGCGUAACUCGCAGCAGGCAGGCACCCAGUGCCCUUUCCCAAAUGCCGGGGACCCGUCUCCCUUUUAUUGGCAAGCAAACAUGUUGCACACACCGCGUCACGCCAGCCCGUAGCCCCGAGCUUGCAACCCUGCGGAAGCGUGGACCGCCACAUACAUUUCAGCCCUUGCCCUAUUGUUUCUUUUCCUAAACACAUGCACUCUCUCGCUCUCUCUCUAUCUCCACCGCAGGUGGACGUGUUUUCCUUCGGCAUCGUGCUGUGGGAGAUCUGGUGCCUUGGUGAGCAGCCCUACAACAACAUCUCGCUGGCGGACAUAUUCGCCGGCGUCAUGACGGGAACCCUGCGGCCGGGCGUGCCGGCGGACUGCGACCCGGACUGGGCGUCGCUCAUGCAGGUAGGGGCGGGAACAGGGUGUGCGUGUCGGGGGGCGGAGGGGGGGGGUCUUGGUGGGUGUAGGGUGUGUGAGGGAGACUUGAGGAGAGCAGGGUAGGGCCACCCGGCCAGAGUGCCAGCGUGCCAGGGUCCCGCAUACCCCACCAUGAUGCCCGCCGUCUCCGGCACGCAUGCCGUGGGGGGUAGCCAUCCAUGGGAUGGUGUGUAUCAAAUAUGAAGUGAAGUGCCGACGUCCAGAGGUACAGCGGGCACACGCGACGCAUUCCAUACCGUUGUUUCGCCAGCGGCAGGCUGCUGGCUCCUCCUCUGGGGGGGGGGGUGCUCCUACGUGCAAGGGUACUGUAACGCCGGCGGUGUGACGGACCUUGCCUGCUGCCCCUCCCCCUGCAAAACCGCACCCACCACUCGCUCCUCUUUUCCCCCAAGUACGCAACCCUCACCCCCAUCCACUGAACUAGAACCCUCACCGCCACUGUAGGCCUGCUGGCACGGCACGCCGCGCGCGCGGCCCAGCUUCAGCGAGAUCGCGGACCGGCUCGAUGCGCUGUUGCAGAAGCUGUCAAUGAUGGAGAGCUCGCAGCAGGGCGGCUCGUCGGCGGCCGGUGGCGGCCACCACCGCGCGAGCAGUGCCGCGGCAGCAGCAAACGGCCCGUCGGCAGCGGCGGCCGGGCGCGGCGGCUCUUGAGCCGCGCAGCUACGGGACUGGCUUUCCAGCAAAUGAAAAGGGUGGCCGGUUUGGGGUGUCAACCUGGGGUGCCCAGACGCAGUAUGUCACCACGCCUCGGUAACGUGCGUGGCUGACAGGCAGUUACGGGAAUGUAUGGAGCCAAGCAUGUUUCGCAAUGGCGCGCUGUUCGUGAGUCCUCGAAGAUUCAUCCGCGUCUUAGCUGUGGGCGCGGGGGUCGUUGUGUGUGUUGGGGCAAGCAGGACUGGGAAUGGGCCGCGGGUGAAGACGUGAGAGUUUGCAGGUGCAGUCCUAGGCGAUGUGGGACCCAGUUCAGUCCAGAGCACUGAGGUAAUGCACGACGUUUUGCUGGAGUUCAAGAUGCUGUGCGGGGCUUUUGCGGGCGCCGAAAUGAUAAACCAAACGCCAGUAACAGAGUCAGUGACCUUAAGGUGCAGCAUUGCAGGAUAAACUGCGGCGGCUGAUGGUGUACUUGUGAUCUUGUGUGGUGAAAGCUAUGAGAUUCUUUCUUAUGCGUCGUAGGGUUAUGCAUUGGUAGGCUGCAUCAGAUGACUGAUUGUGUGACGAUUUGCCCGCUUGUGGCCCCGCGAACUCCGAGAUUUAAGUGGCGCUAGUAGCAGUGCACCGGACGUCCUAGAUCCUAGAUACAGCGAUGUCGUUCGUGGGGCGUGUCCAGUGGCAGGGCGGCUCGGGCUGUGCCGCAAUCGCUUGUGUGGGCAGACGUAGCCGGACUGGAUAAGAGAAUGACGUGCCGCAUGAGGGCUGGCGUUUGCAGCUGGUGUGGCGUGAAUGCCUGCGCGGGGGCACAUACGCAAGCUCCUGAGGAGCAGGCCGCAGGACCUUGAAGCAAAGGUGGGUCGAUGAUGCUGGAGGUAAGAGACAAGGCACUGGGACGACUCGGUAGACCGUACCAUAAUGUUCAUUGAGCGGUGCGCGGUGGGGUGACGAGGCUGUGAUUGGGCGGUACGAGGCGUUGGGCAGUGGGCACGUGCGCUGCAUAGUAGGCAGGAAACUGCGCAAUACGAUAUUGUGUCCAUGUGGUUGGUGAAGGGGGCUGCUACGGAUUACGGUACAUGAGGGGAUCUGUGGUGGCUGCUCCGAGCGGCGUGAGCCGCUGCGAAGUCAUCCCCGCUGUAAAUGAUGCAUACGCGGCGUGGGUACGGAGGAGGGUAGGAAAUCCGAAAAGUUGCCGGUGGCCUCUGGUUGUAAGGGUGAGCCGGGUACCCUGCCGAGCCAAACUUUGCUGCGUGCGCGGGGGUUUGAAGCUGCCUGAAGCGGGUCGCCGCGGCAGUCCAGAUGCCUGCGCCGAGGGAUGGCAGAUGCCUGCGCGACCCCGCGCCAUCAGCACGGAUGCCUGCGCGAGGCAUUGCAGAUGCCGCGGCGCCCCUGCUAGCACAUCUGAGCUGCCUAUUGUAGCCACCUAGUUGCUUGGUAAAAUGCCGCAAGAGGGUCUGGAAUGGGUAACGGGCAGUGUGCCAGGGGUAUGCCAGCACUCCGGCACGCAUACACAGCCACACUGCUCAGCCGAGAAGUCAAGGGCCUGGACCAUGCUGGCCUAUACUGAGUGCGUGCUGAUAUUAAAGCAACUACAACACCUUUAUAGAUACUUCGAGCUGCAGAACUCUGCUGAAGUUGCGACAUUCAUGUUCAAGGGUUCCUUCUUUUGGGGCUUUUGGUGCCACAAGAAGGCUACAUGUAAAGCAGUAGCAAGUUUAAAAACUACUGGGCAAGCAGGGAAACAAAAGGCUCUCUGCGAACCACUGGUUCGCGGGGCGUGACAGCCAACUCGGCGCCGCAGCCAGCUUUCCUUGGGAAUACAGCUUCUCACCCAGAUAGCAGAUACCAUGAAUUAGAUCACAGCAGGCUCCACGGCUUAAACCCAGCUUUAGCGGCCCCAGACUGUGUUUCCAUGUCCGAACCCACAGUCUCAAUCUAGUUGUCACAAUGAAUACAUCGCGCUUGGCAUCUCUGCGUGUAGAGUAUUCUUUAGGAAACAGGCCAGAUUGAGCUGCGUGCUUGCCAUGGGCACCGUGACACACUGGCACCGGCACCGGCACCCACGUGGGUACUGGGCAUACUGUGCUUACUGACAUUCCCGCAAUCCAAACUCGGCACGCUACGUUUCCGGGGUGGGAAACCACGCCAGUCAAGCUGAGGGGGCACGGCAGCGAAGAUGCCUGGGCGGACCGCCUCGACCAUCCCAGAUGCCUGGGCACGGCAGCUAAGAUGCCUGGGCAGACCAUCCCGGCCAGUCGAGAUGCGUGGACAUGGCACCCCAAGAUGCCUGCGCAGGGCUACCCCAGCACCCUCAGAUGCGCGUGCGCGGGGGUCAGGUUGCCUCUGGAAUUUAGCUGCCAGACCAGACCCACCCCGCCAGAUGCCUGCGCUCGGCAACUUUCCCACCCUCCGGGUACGGCGUGCCCCCGCUUGUCGGGCUGUCCCAUCCAUACGAUGGGACAAAGCGGGCACGCGUGUCCGCCGAUGGUCGGCGGAGUCUAGUUCGUGCAGAUAUGAUUAUGAUUAUAUAUGGAGAUUCGUCGCGUCGCGCCGCUGGGCUGCGUAUAACUGUUGGCUAAACGGCCCUGGGGUCGGCGGCCGGGUGGUGGGCUGGACGAAGCAACCGGAUGGGGCACGGUUUGUGCCCUGUCGAGGGCUCCACUGGAAGGCGACUCGCUCUGGACCCAUAGACACGUUACAGUAUUUGUAGUCGCGUGCGCACCAAUAUCGAAUACGUCGGCGGUGAAGCUAGGUGUUCAGAGGUCGCAUUUCCUGUGAGACAGUGUAGACUCGUAAACAAUUGGUCACAGGAGCGCUAUACAUUCUACACACCGUUGUCACUUAUCGUGAUUCUGAUAGGCAGAGACCUGGGCCAGGGCCGAGGCGCCCCGGUCCCUAACAAAGGCCAUGUCGCAGUCAGCCCACAGCGCAGGAUGACAUUAGCAAGCUUUGCUCUGGCGCUGCUGCUUGGAUUGUCUCUUGCGAUAUCAGCUACAGGUAAGAGAGAGAAACCUCGCCUGACACAACUUUGCGGUCACGGCGCCAUACCGGCCCAGACAAUUCCUGUGACCAUAUCGAGCUGAUGCAUUUUAUAUAGCGUCCAACCCGAGGCCGCAAACCCGCGCGGAAGGCGCGACUCAGACAGCGCGGUUCUGACGUGCUACGCGUGUGACCCGGCCUUCAAUUGACGGACGUACAUCGUAUCUAUCAAUAUGUUGUAUCAGCAUUGCGGGACGGGCGGCAGUCGGGCGGAGUUACCUACAUGAACGCUUGCGAACAAAAACACACCCAGGCUUCGCGUAACUCUUUUGGUCUAUACAAACCCGUGCAUAUGGUGUUAGGUACUGGGCAGCAGGUUUAACGGGUGCCGCCGCUCUCGUAAACGCUGCUGCUUUCCGGUCUUGCAGAUGCUGCUGGCACGGCAGAGACGGUGUUGGUGCCCGCGCCAUGCUCCGCCUUCACGGGGGCAAAUUCCUUAGAUGAGCUUGCGCGGGCGUGCCCGGAGCUCAGCACGUUCGCGAAGCUAUUAGCGACCGCGGACAACUAUGGCAAGUGGAUGCUGGACUGCGGGAAGCGGUGCGGGACGCUGCAGAAGCUGCCGCGCACGGUCUUCCUCCCUGUCAAUGUGGUAAGCAAUUAAUGUGGCGGGUAUGGCGUGCGCGUGGCAGUGAGUUGCGGCUGGGAGGCAGCUGUGCUGCUGGGGAAAGCCCGGUUGGGUGCGUGCCGCGGCGCGGCUGACAAGGCGCCACCCGCACACAUAGCCCCCAACUCCCCAAGCCUACAUUCAGCUUUACUUAAAUGUAACUGCCAUGCAAUCCGCGCGCACAUCUGCAGGCGUGGCAGAAGUACUUUACAGCCACGGGGACGACGCUGGCGGGGCUGACCAGCAAAAAGUCGCGUAAAGCGCUCACAGCGCUAAUGAGGUGGGUCGGCGGGCGCUGCUCUCCGGGCGGCCACAUAGGCACACUCUCACGGCGGUCAGCCAGCUCUGCUUUCCGUCCCAAAUAUGGAUGCUCUAGUGGUGCUUGGCGGACGGGUGCGAGAUGCCAGAUGCCUGGCCGCGGCUUGACGCCCCAAUGUGCGUCCGUGUGCACCCGGUGUUGCGGUCGCCUCAGGUACCACGUGCUCGCCCAGGUGGUCACCUCCUCCCGGGUGCCGCUCGCCGUGGAUGCGGUCGGCAGUAGCGCCGCCGGCAGUAGCAACAACGGCAGUAGCAACAACGGCAGUACCAUCGGCAGCGUCGCUGUCAGCAGCAGCGGCGGGGAGGAGGUGGAGACGCUGCAGGGCGGGAGCAUAACACUAGCGCGGUACGCGGGCGCGUAAGUGCGCAGUCUGUGUGGGACUGGGGACAGGGGACUGAGGGGUGUGGUGUGAGUCGCGACGUGCCCGGCCGGGUAUUGGUUAGGUACCGUAUUAAACGCGCUUGGAGGUCGCAACUUGUUUAGGGUGUGUGCGGGGCAUGUGCUUGUGCUGUAUGUCGCAUGUCCGUGUGUUGUCCCACAGUCGCGCUGUGCUACCUUCUAUUUCCAUACCGUAUGCCUGCUGUCACCUGCGGCCGCCUGUUGUCACCUGCUGUCACCUGUUGUCACCUGCUGUCGCCUGUUGUCACCUGCUGUCGCCUGUUGUCGCCUGCUGUCGCCUGUUGUCGUCUGCUGUCGUCUGCUCCCAACAGCGUCCCACCGGACCGCGCCGCGCCCCGCAGGCGGCCCAACACCUCCACCAUACGAGUGGAGGGCAGCCGCAACCAGGCGGUGGUGCUUCACGCAGACAUCAGCCUGGGCACGGUGAGGAGGGGGGCACGGGAGGGGGGGCCGGGGCGGGGAAGCAGGGUUCUCCAGCCAGGAGCAAUCCAGGACUUUUAGGGGUUAUGGCAAAAAGCGCAGGAGGUUGUUUGGGGAUCUCCUGCGGAGCAAGAGGGAUUAGGCCCCCGCCAAGGGGCCGCUCCUGGCACGGACAAAAGGGCCCGGAGGGCCCUCCUCCUGGCUGCCAGGAGCAUUGUAGGCUACUCGUGCCUUCGGCGAAAAACGCAUUGGCAUACACUCACUUUCCGGCAAAACGCAGGAAAUGCAUGUUUUUAUGGGGUUGGGGGGCUGAUUUUCGCGAACUAUCCCCAUGGUGGCUUCGGGCAGCAACGGGGCGUCAAUAUUUGUGGGCAAGCACAACGGUGCAAUUGGGCUGGGACAAAGUUCCUUGUAUACAGGAGUAGCUGGGGCAAGCGCUCCUGGCGCGCAGGAGAUUGUAGAGAACCCUUGUAUACCGUAACCCUGCGGGAAAGGCAGGGGCACAAGGGCACGAAGGUACCCUCGAGCCCACAAAAUGCGCGGGACACGGAGCAAGGGGCCUGGAGGAGGAGGGGAGGGGGCCGAGUGCGCGGUGGGAGUGAUGCUGGUGGGCAGGAGGACGAAGAGGAAAUCACUACCGGUAGGCUUAACAGUUCAGGGUUCGCUGGGAAUGAAAGGAACUCCUUACCAUGUUGCGAGCUGCUUACAAUCGUCAACAAACUUCCGCUGGCCGCCCCUCCUCGCAGCCGGUGGUGCACCUGGUGAGCGACGUGUUGCUGCUGGAGGCGGACCCGCCGCCGCCCCCCGAGCUGCCCUCGCCCAUGCCCUCCCCCUCGCCGCCCCCGCCCUCCCCCUGGGCCACCCCGGCGCCCUCACCCGCCUACGCCUCCCCGACCCCGACCCCGACCCCGACUCCCUCACCCGCAUCCGGAACCGGCGGAACCAGCCCGAAGCCGCUGUCGCGGCCCGGCACGCCCAUCACCGGAUCCACGAUCUUCAACCUCACGUGGGAUCGCAAUGUGGACAUGGAUCUCAUUGUGGUGGCGUCGUGGCCGGAGACUGAUACCACCGACACCAUGACUAUGUUCUACGGAUACACGGUGCGUGUGUGCUAAGCGUGUGUUGCUGAAGCGCUGUCCAAGCGUUGCGUUUGAUGCUGCUGGUGCUGUUCUAGAGCCCAAGAGGCCUGCUGCCGGACUGCCGGCGCUACGCUCCGUGCCUCGUCCAGUUGCUCAUUCCCCGCCUCCUAUCUCCGAUCAACCGGACACCCCACCACGCCAAGCCACAAUCCUGCAGCCCAUUCUGGCAUCACACACACACACACACACACACACACACACACACACACACACACACACACACACACACACACACACACACUGUCUUUGCGCAACGUUUUCCUUGUGCUCUUUAACACACACACACACACACACACACACACACACACCACACCGCACCGCUCCUCCCCUCCCCUUACUCCUCCGCCGCCGCUGCUGCAGGGCCCGGAGGCGCUGCUGGGCGGCGGCGCCAUGUCCGCCUCCACGUCCGGCGGCAGCGGCGCGCUCACCGGCUUCUACAGCCGCACCGCCGGCUCCUGGGAGGCGCUGGCCUGGCCCAACCCGCUUAAACCCGCGCCGGUGAGCGGCAGUGCGUGCGCGGGAGGUGGACAAAAGGGAGAGGGGGCAGGGAAAGGCGGUCGUCAGUAUGACUACCAUCAGUUAAUCUGAGUAUCAAGUACCGUUACCAGCCUCGCGUUUCUGACCCCGCCGCUCUGCGCACCGCCCACCCGCCAGGCCGUGUACACGAUCUGCUCCUUCUUCUACAACCUGGAGUGGGCGCCCGGCACCGUCAUCAACGCCGACUCGCCCGUCACGCCGGCCUUCUCCGUCAUUACCGGAGCUGACCAGAAUGCAGGCGCGGGCCGAGGCACCGCCGGCAGCAGCAGCAGCAGCAGCAGCAGCAGCAGCAGCAGCAGCAGCAGCAGCAGCAGCAGCAGCAACGGCAGUGGCAGCAAUAGCGGGGAGGUGCUGGUGGGAACGCUGAGCCGGCCGCUGUGGAAGCCGGGGGAGUUCAGCUUCACGCUGCUGCCGCGCAACUGCUCGCCCGACUGCGCCUGGUACCUGGGGCAGGUGUGCGUGGACGGCGCGGGCAAGGUGCGCGUGGUGAGCGGCACGGAACGCUGCUGAUGAGCCGGCGCCUGAGAGCGGGUUGCCGUUGCGGACACACGGAUGCAUGCAGGCAGGUAGGCAGGUAGGAGCUUGAAAUGCUGGUACCGGUACCGGGCGGUAAUAAACGCAAAAUUCUCGUCUUUUUAAUCUCUGUUGAGGUGAGGUGAUUGUGGGCGGCCCAGCGGCCGCGCCGCCGCGGCAAUGCGGGAAGUUGUCGUUGCGGCUGCGAACAAAAGGAAACUGGAUUUAGGCAUGGGCGGUUGGAUGGCAUUGCUGUGAGCGUAGCGAAGGGCCUUGGACGCUUUGAGGGAUCUUGCGCCAGGGCGCGACUGGUGCUCGGGCGGUUGGCAGCUUGUCUUUUAGCAUUGCUGGGUUGACUCGAGUGUGGGCGCUGCAUCACAGCGCUGCAUUGUGUGUGUUGUGAACCCCUUUGCUGGAUGAGCAUGCGUUCCACGGUUUGUGUGGGGCGUCACGGCACGCGUGUGGUAUGUCGUUGGCAGGGUUGUUCCGCGUUGUCCGGGGGUGUAGCUUGCAGGAUGGAUACCGCCAAUCCGUGUGCUACCGCGUCAGUUGUGUGCCGCGGCCUUGGACACAUGUUUGACACGGCCUCGGGUCUGUGCCGUGGCAUGAUAACCUUUCGGUCCCAAAUGCCACGACGUGCAUUCAACUGGGCUGCUGCUGGAUGUGUCUUGGACAUGGGUCUGCGGCGUCCGGUACUCAAGAGCCUGCUCGGCCCAAAGUGGUUGUGCGGCUCGCUUCAAGUGCGGGCGCGGCUGAGCGAGCUUUCACGCUGAGGCGCUGCGGCAUGGCUCGUGAGUGCGGCGUGGUGCGGGGCGUGUGCAUAGGGACCAGCGGUUUGUUUUGAGGGGAGGAAGGGGUCUCUUGAUGAACACGAGCUCGGGCGCGUGGCUGGUGCGGGCGCGUGGCUGGUCGAGCUUCCACACGAAGGCGCUGCGGCAUGGGCGCGUGCGGGCGCCGUGGUGCGGGACGCGUGCGUAGGGACCAGCAAUCUGUUGUGAGGGGAAGAAGGAGUUGGAGUUGGAGGUGGGUGUGACACAUGCAUGCAUACAUAGACGGGAGCGGUUGUGUUCUUUCUACCGGUGUCGGGUGUUAGCUGGGCAAACAAUACAUGCCUCGACGGCAUCCCUGAACAGUACACGCAUGUCACAGACUCUACAAAGCCAGGGCCUGGUGUUUGCGGCCGGCGCUUACCCACAUCCCUUCGCGCCGUUGUGAGUAGAAUGGCAGGAUUCGGAAAUGUUGAUGGUGUGUGGUGACUGGUGAGGACAUGCGCGGCCUGCUGGCAAGUUGGAAGGUUGGAAGUGGAACGCAUGGGCUCCAUGAUUGUUGUGUAGGUCCAUGGGGAGUUGGCGUUUGGCCCACGCAAACAGCGAGGCGAGUCAAUGGCGAGUCAGGACCACCGGGGUGGUGGCAAUCACACGUCAUUUGCACAUAAAGUCCACAGGGGUGGUAAAGAUUGGACACAAGGCGUGCGUGGGGCUAGGUGGGAGCUGUGGGACGUCCUGGCGUCGCGCGCUAGCGGACACCGUGGGCACGGCGGAUGUCGGCAGCGGGCACUCCAGUGAGCCGAGAGUUCCUUGUCAACCUUGCCAAUGUUUCUUGGCCACAAGCCUGCAAUGGGGCCCGUUUCUUGCCGCUCCCCGGCGCGACCAAUCAAGACCAAGAUCAAGCCCCACGCACGCACGACCCCUCUGCCGGCAAACCAGACACUGCAAGCGCCGCAGCCAAAGCCCGCAGCCAGGCGCCGCACGGGCGGCAGCCCCUAACUUCGCUAAAAAACCGGCGCAGCGCGCUCAACCUGCCCUACGCCCCGUAGAGAGGCUGGAUGGAGGUUAUGUGUUAUUAUGUUACUGUGCGCUGGGGUGUCUGUUAGUCUUCGUUUUCAUCUACUUACCUAAGCAUGUCAUUGAACAUGCAUGGGGGAAAAUAUUGAGUUCGGGAAAUUACUGAUUUCACGAAGGCGGGGUGGGACUGGGCGGGACUUCACACGAGUGCGAGCGUGAGGACCCAGGACAUUCUUACUUUUGCUGUCACCUGUUUAUUUGCAAGGAAGCCGGGGGAAUUGUUCACUACUGUAAAUUAGGAUUAACAAGCGCCUCUGCACAAUACUCUGUGCGCGCAUACAAAUCCAUGUGCGUGAUGAGAAGUUGAUGUGCUAUCGUCACAUAAUACAUUAUAUAAACAUGAAACAUUACUUGCCACUUCGACGAUACUUAGUCUACUUGGACGACCAUACAAGUAUGAUAAAUGGACGCCUCGGCUUGCUCCACCAUUAAUUAGGUCACAAGUGCUAGGAUUCCCGGUAAAUUUCUGGGUUGGACCUAACCUGGCCCAUGGCCUUGCCACAAGGCCUCAGUUUGACUGAGGCAGCCGAUAUGCUGGAAUCUGCUUACUCUGGCAGUGCGGCAGGCGAGCGAAAGUGGUGUGAUCAACCUGACGGCGGCCGGCGCAGCGCAGCGCUGGGCUCCGGAAUGCACAGCCCUGGGCACAGCCCGCUUUGCAGCCCGCCGCACCGUAGCAACAGCGAGGGCGCAAUUAGCAACCGCAGCAGCUUUGCGGCAGGGUUGGGCGACUCUGGGCACUCUCCAAGCGCAGCGCUGCUGGUCCCGCAAGACUUUGAACCGGCGGAAGUGCAGAUGUUGGCUGAUGCCUUCAGCGCAACCCCAGCGACAGGACCGCGAGGCUCAACUGACGCGGCACUGGAGGCUGCACCAGGCACUAACAUGAAGGCUGUACUGCUGGAUCUGCUUCUGACGGCGGCGGAAGUGCUGGGAGUAGUAAUAGCCGCGGCGUGGGAAGAACCAGGCGCAGCUGCUGCAACGGCGGUUGCUGCUGCGGCAAUAAUAACGGCUGCAGCGGAUGGUGCCUCCCUGGUCCACGCUGAUGCAGCAGUGCCGGACGGCCCACCGCCGCCACAGACCGCGCUGCCGGACAGGCCGCUGCUGCUGCAGGCCGCGCUGCCGGACGGCUCACCACAGGGCGCGCCGCCGCUGGAGUCCAGUUCCAGCACUACCCGCCGACGCCCCGUCACUCCAGCAGCAGGGGCUACUGACCAGAGCCAGCCGCCCCGCCCACCAGAGGUGGCGGACGUCAUUGGCGCGGUGAAUGCUAGGAACAGCAGUGCAGCAUCUGAUGUCGCUGGGUCGGAGGCCGAGGCUGCGGAAAGGGUCGGAGCUGCGGUGGCUGCUGAGGCAGCAGAAGACAGCGUUGAGGACGCCGCGACCCGGCCGCAGGGCAGGCUUGACGCCGCCGCGACUGGGGCUGAGGGCAGCAGGCUGAACGCCGCGCCGGCUGGGGCGGGAGGCAGACUGCUUGCUGUGGCCUCUCAAGCAAAGGAUGUAUUGGAGGCAUCGGCGACUGGGGUACGGCAGCUGGCAGAUGCCAUAGCUCGUGUGGAGGACUCUUUGCGGGUCGCGGCCGCUCAUGUCCAGGAGCAGCUGGCACUGGCGCUGGGACCCCUCUCGGGCGCUGCUGCAGCUGCGAGCGCAGCGGUGGUGGCUGCUGCUGAGGCGUCACCAGAUGGCGCUGCGGCCAUGGAUGAGGCCACUGCGGCAGCAGCUGCAAAGGCCGCCGCGACGGCUUCACGUAUUGCGGGCACAGCCUUGGCGCCAGCAGCAGCGGGCGGUUUGCUGGGAAUGGCGGCGGCGGGCAGCGCAGUGGCUGCAGUAGCGGCGCUCGCGGUGGCGCCUGCAACAGUGCCAUGCGCGCAGAUGGAGGCCGGCGGAGCUGCAACGGCGUGCGACGAUGAGGCUAGGUGCCGCGGCAACUCACGUGGUGAUGAUGAGCAGAUUGGCGGUCACGGCGGAUGGCUUGCUGUUGGAGGCCAGAUUGGAGACAGGCUGGGAGCCGUAGCAGCUCAUCAGCAGGCGGCAGAGACCAGCUUGGCAGCCGCGGCGGUGGCGGCUCGAGCGGAACUAGUACCGGCGGCGGCGCCAGCAGCGUCGCUUUGGGGAAGGGUCCCUGUGGCGGUGGAGAAUGCGGCGGGCAUGCAACCUAUGCAAGAGAGCAACUCCACAGCCACGAAAACUCCGGGGGGCAGUAGUGCACCGGCACCGUUAAUACCCGUCAGUGGCUACGCUGCUGAGCUGCACAUGAAGCUUCCCAUCAACAUCGUCACCUACAACAUCCACAGCCUGAAAUCAGUAAACACUGCAGCGGAUGACGCAGCCAACUCAGCAGUUGAGGCGAAGGCGGCAGCGGACACAGCGGCAACGGCAGCGGCCAGCGCGGCACAGCUGUUCCAACAGUUCACUACACAGUCGGCGGAAAAUGCGGCCGCGGCGGCCGCCGAAGACAUGGCGGCACCAGCCGCGGCCGGCAAGGUGAAAGCGGACAAUGAGACGGCUGCCCUGCGGUUGAAGCUGGCAACAGACGAGGCGGAGGUCGCGGCGAGCAACGCAGCCAAAGCUGCCAAGAUGGCAAAGGAUGCAGCAGGCAAGGCAAUGGCAGAUGUCGCCGCUUCAGCGGCGGCGGCGGCAAAAGCAGCGGCGAAAGGCGGCAGGCAAGGCACUUGACACGGCAAAAAGUGCGGCAGUAAACCAAGACCCAGCUACAGAUCCGGCUGCUGCACCGUCGCCGGCGGGGGGCAACGCGGAGAGCCAGCAGGGUGCCGCCGCCGACCAAGACGACCCAGAAAGUGCUUCAGAUGAUGAGGACGCGCGUGAGGCGGACCUGACGCUGCUGCAGGGCGUUCUCACCGCGGUGAUCGACCACGCCGGCUGGGCGCUGCCAGGCGGCAUCAGAGACGCCAUGCAGGCGACGGGGCGACUGGACGUGCUUUGCCUGCAGGUGACUGCAUGCAAUCAGCAUUACCGGCGACUACGCAACUUAUUGCAUGCGUGGUGUGGGGGGCGGGCCUGAUAAUGCCUAUCGUUGCACUGUAAUACAUUGACUUUUUGCAGGAAGUGCGGGUCUCAGCAGUAAGUAAGAGGAAGGUCCUGCUGCAAGGCAUGCUGGAGCAGCUGAGCGACAAAGGCUACGACCACGUGAUGGUACGUGCUAAGCAUAGCAUGUUGGUUGCUUGGAUGCCGGGCAUGAGUUGGUUUGAGUGGGACUGGCUUCGAUGGGGCCCUGCUGCAUGGUGCGUGUGGUGUGGCGUGGUACACGGUAUGGUGUGGCGUUGCGUUGCGUUGCGCUGCGUUGCGCUGCGUUGCGCUGCGUUGCGCUGCAUUGCGCUGCAUUGCGUUGCGUUGUGUUGCGCUGUGCUGCAUGUAUGUGUAAACUGUGUGAAGUGGCGUGGCGAGGCGUGCCGUUGUUGCUGGCAGGCGUGACCAGCUCUCUAUCUAUGCCUGUACGUAAUAGCAGCCACUUGCAGGUAGGGCCUGCCUUACACAGAGCGGUUCUUGCUGUUGCCUGCAGGCGGGUCAGCUUGUGAUCCUGUGGAACAAGUCCACUCUGGAGCGCGUCGACAAGAAGGGUGAGGGCGGUGCCGGCGGCGACGGUGGCAGUAGCGGCCGAAAGCAGCCCAACACCAGCCCAGACUACGUGUGGCACCGCCGAGAGAUUAGCGAGGCGGAGGCAUCGGCCGAUGAUGAACGCCUCAACAAGGCUUGGGGCACGGAUAAGGAGUUGAGCUCUGAGUAUGAAAACGCAUGUGGCCAGAUGGAAGCGUACCGCGACGAGCUGGAGGAGAGCGGGAGGAGAGCGGGAAAGAAAGGAAAGUCGAAUCAGGCGGACAAGCAGAAGGACGCCGAUGCCUUCUUCCGCUAUCCGCCCAUUACGGUGGUGCUGCGGCGGCGACCGGAGACAACUGGCUCCAACACCACCUACGUCAUCACCACCGCGCGCACGCCGGGCGCCACGAAGCCAAAGCAGCAUCUGGAGCAGCUGGCACGGGAGGUGGAGUGGCUGAUGACGCCGGAGCGGUACCGCCGCGUCAUCCAGCACAUGGAGCAGCUCAACAACUACUGGGACACGCAGCAGGGCAAGGAGCUGUACCCGGGUGGCCUGCUGCCCGCCGUGGGCAAAGGGCAUAUCGACGUUGUACACGUGGUGGCGGGUGACUUCAACACACAGAACUACGGCAAGGCCUUCAAAGCCAGCAAAUGUCAGCAGGCCGCCGCCAACACCGGUGAGGUUACUGACACUGAUAAAGCCGCCGCCAACACCGGCGCGGCCGCCAGCCCCGCCGGCGCGGCCGCCAGCUACGCCAGCACCGGCGCGGCCGCCAGCACCGGCGCGGACGCCAACACCGGCGCGGACGCCAACACCGGCGCGGACGCCAACACCGGCGCGGACGCCAACACCGGCGCGGACGCCAACACCGGCGCGGACGCCAACACCGGCGCGGACGCCAGCACCGGCGCGGACGCCAACACCGGCGCGGACGCCAACACCGGCGCGGACGCCAACACCGGCGCGGACGCCAACACCGGCGCGGACGCCAACACCGGCGCGGACGCCAGCACCGGCGCGGACGCCAACACCGGCGCGGACGCCAACACCGGCGCGGACGCCAACACCGGCGCGGACGCCAACACCGACGCGGACGCCAGCACCGGCGCGGACGCCAACACCGGCGCGGACGCCAACACCGGCGCGGACGCCAACACCGGCGCGGACGCCAACACCGGCGCGGACGCCAGCACCGGCGCGGACGCCAACACCGGCGCGGACGCCAACACCGGCGCGGACGCCAACACCGGCGCGGACGCCAACACCGGCGCGGACGCCAGCACCGGCGCGGACGCCAACACCGGCGCGGACGCCAACACCGGCGCGGACGCCAACACCGGCGCGGACGCCAACACCGACGCGGACGCCAGCACCGGCGCGGACGCCAACACCGGCGCGGACGCCAACACCGGCGCGGACGCCAACACCGGCGCGGACGCCAACACCGGCGCGGACGCCAGCACCGGCGCGGACGCCAACACCGGCGCGGACGCCAACACCGGCGCGGACGCCAACACCGGCGCGGACGCCAACACCGGCGGCAAGGCAUCCAAAACCGGCGGCAAGGCAGCCAGCACCGGCGGCAAGGCAGCCAAAACCGGCGGCAAGGCAGCCAAAACCGGCGGCAAGGCAGCCAACACCGGCGGCAAGGCAGCCAAAACCGGCGCGGACGCCAACACCGGCGCGGACGCCAGCCCCGCCGGCGCGGACGCCAGCUACGCCAGCACCGGCGCGGACGCCAGCACCGGCGCGGACGCCAACACCGGCGCGGACGCCAACACCGGCGCGGACGCCAGCACCGGCGCGGACGCCAACACCGGUGCGGACGCCAACACCGGCGCGGACGCCAACACCGGCGCGGACGCCAACACCGGCGCGGACGCCAACACCGGCGCGGACGCCAACACCGGCGUGGACGCCAACACCGGCGGCAAGGCAUCCAAAACCGGCGGCAAGGCAGCCAGCACCGGCGGCAAGGCAGCGAAAACCGGCGGCAAGGCAGCCAACACCGGCGGCAAGGCAGCCAAAACCGGCGCGGACGCCAACACCGGCGCGGCCGCCAGCACCGGCGCGGCCGCCAGCACCGGCGCGGACGCCAACACCGGCGCGGACGCCAACACCGGCGCGGACGCCAACACCGGCGCGGACGCCAACACCGGCGCGGACGCCAACACCGGCGCGGACGCCAACACCGGCGCGGACGCCAACACCGGCGGCAAGGCAGCCAAGACCGGCGGCAAGGCAGCCAAGAGCAACACCGGCAAGGCUAGCAAGGCCGCCGUUGGCCGCACAGCCGUCAAGACAGCAGCUGACGCUCGUGUCGAACAGUGCUUCCCCUACUUCCCCUGCCUGACGACGUCCUGGCAGCCCUUUCAGGGCACAAAGGAUGACCGCUCUGAGCCCAGCACUGCAACCAACCACGCCGAUGUGGUGUACGUGCUCAAGGACAGCCUGACCAUGGCGGGGCUGGUCAAUACGGGCUUCCAUGUCCUGCCUCUGGCCCGCACCGGGGGUAAAACGUCCAUGGGCGGCUCCGACCACAAGCCGCUGCUGGUGUCGUUCCGGGAGGCGUGCCAGCAGGCGAGACCAGUCCUACCGCUGGCGGCGGCGGCAGCAUCAGCUCUGCAGUUGCGGUUGCAGGCGGGAGUAGAUCAGGUGCUGCGGGAGGAUGUCCGAACACAGGACAGGAUGCGCGCGGAGGUGUGCGCGGCAUUGGGGCAGCUCGAACAGGCGCUGGCAGCCCAGUCCCUGAUUGGACAUGCAAGCUGCCCCUCGGUGCCUGUGACGCCGAGGCGAUGACGCGGCUUGGCUAAAUAAUCAGCAAUAAACAUGGAGAUAUGUGGGGCGGACAUUAUCGAGGUGUUAUUCGGAAGGAGUGUUAGUUGGGGUGGACUGAUGCGGGAUUGGGAAGAGACGGUGGCGCCAGUGCGCGCCAGGCAGGAGUCCCGCAGUAGCGUGGCACAGCUGGGCGUCCGCCGAGUGCCCCUCAGCAGGUGCUCUGCUGUUGAGCGGAGAGGAUGGCAAGCACAUGGCAUGAUGGCACUGGUUUGCAACCUUGCACGUAUCCAAGCAGGCACCCUGAGCCGUGAGCCCUGGUGCGGUAUCUGAUCAGCUGGCCCCAGUGCUCGUUCUUCUAUCUACACGUGCGUAACAAUUUGCCCAGAAACCCGCCGAAGGCUACUGUGAAAGGUUUUAAAAUUUUGGGCCGUGCUUUUAUAGCGCAGAUUUGAGGUUUAGGGCCUAGUUGCCCCCUGGCCGGCGCUUUGAGUGAUUACCAGUAGACCUUAUGUGUCCAGGUCAAUCGCAGCAGUAGACAAAUGGAAGGCGAGAUGGGGUGCUGCGUGUUUGUGAUUGUGGGGCUGGGUUUGGCCUACGCCAUUAGGGACCAGGCAUACAUGCCAUGCAAGCGUAAUGAAUUGUUGUGCGCCGUUGCCGGUGCGUCUCGUCAUUCACUGGCAGGCACUGCCCGGGUACGAGUAAGAGGGCGGUUGACAGCAUAUGAACUUAGGUAGGAGUGGGAAGUAACGCAACGGUUGAGAACUGGCGAACUGCAGGUGGUUUGUGUGGAUUGCAUCUCAGUUGUGUGGAGAGGUUUGGCGUCUGUGGAGGUUUUCUGGCUCUGGCAUCACCUUCGCCUGCAGUGCGUAGGCGAAUGAAGGAGCGUGUUGUAAGCACUGGGCAGCUGGUCAUGCGGGUGCUGAGGAGGAGCUGCGGUGGUGGCCUGUAUGUGCUUUACAUGUGUGUGUUCAGGGGAGCUUGGGGGCCAGGUCCAGGUUCAUAGGCAGGCAGUUGGCUUGCCCUGCCAGGUGUCGAGCGUGGGGUGUCGGGCAGGGGGCCGCCCAUGCAGCCCCAUAGUCCCGCAACACCGGCCCUGGCCCGGUGGCUUCGGAGCGCGUUCACGCAACCAAACUCAACCACGGGGCAUGAGUUACCAGCCGUUCACACGCAGCCGCUGAAGCUAGCUCAUUCAAGGCCCGCUCGACUUAGUCCACCGAGCGUCCAGCCAGCUGGGACAGACCGCACUCGCCCCCAAAGUCGCCAUCGACAGCUGUCGACCCAAGCAGUCGACUGUCCGCAGUCCGCCCUCUGGCCCUGGCGAGGGGCCGUCGCUAAAGCGCCUUCAACCGUCAGCCCCUGGUGGCAGCCCUAGUACGAUACGGCAGUCAAGCAUCCCGUUCCAACACCUGUUCAUGUACCGUACGGUACUCGCCUUCCAGGCUUGCUGUUCUGGGGAGGAGGCACACGCUCGCUCCAUCUUGCUCAAUAUAAGCAGGAUGCCUGAUGUACGCACUCAGCUGAUGAGCUAGCUGCCCUGUGUGGUUCAUUCCAGGAACAUACACAUGUUGGUAGGUGUGGCGCAGCAAGCAGGGCCGUGGUGGCAGGGUGCGUGGUUCAAGCCUAGGGGCUAGGGCUCGCUGUGCAAUGCUGCGCGUCGCUCGCAGGUCAGGGAGGAAGGGAUGAAGGGGGAGGGAAGGGAUCACUGUUACUGUUACCGUACAAGCACAUAAUGAUCCGGGGUCUCACCGGGGGCGAGCUGCAAGGUAGCUAGCAAGUAGCAAGUCACAGUACUGGAAAGCGGCAGCUGGAGCAGGCUGGAGUCUGCCAUCUCAUUCCUCCCUUGCUCAUGCAUCAUCAGGUCCCGCCAAGCAUCCCACCGGCCACCACGCACAAGCUGACAAAACCGCUAGCCGUCUUUUGCCUGCAAGGCGGCACUGCAUUGCAAGUGUUCGACACAAACACAGCCCCAGCAUCGCCCAACACACACACGCACACACAAAUGCAGCUACCGUACGCACCAGCUCAAGCAGUGCCCACCAGUCCGGCGGACCCCGCACCGCCGGCAGCCGCGCCCGUCGCUCAGACUCACGGCACCUCCAAUGUCCGUCCGAAGCACGCUCCUCUCAAGGUUCUUCUCAAGGCUCCUCCUCUCAUUCGCUCAGCAGUCCGCUCGAGCGGCCCCUCCGCUCUAUGUGCACACCUGCCUUCUCGCCCUCUCCACAAGGACACCAACACACACACGCGGCACACAAGUAGUCCGUUCAGUGUCAUCGCUGUCCGUGUCGCAAGUCUCACCGCGCCUCCUCGCACCCGUUGGUUCCUCACGCGUCCUCGGGUAGGGCCGCCACCGCCGCGGCAAUCGCCUCCUGCUGCUCCUGAGCCGAGCCGGUGGCGGGAGCGCCCUGCUCGCCGGGAGGAAGAGGGCGGGUGGGAGACAAGGGGCCUUGGGCAGGGUUAUGCUAGCAACAGCGAGUUUUGCAGCACGACGGCAACCCGGCACCGGCGCUGACACCAGCAGCCACAGCCGUAGCAGGGGAGACCAGCGUCGGCCAUGCCCGCGCGUUCGUUCACCGCACCCGCCCUCCCAGUGCUCCUCACGCGCAUGCAAUGGCACGCCCGCCAACCACUCCGAAGCCCCGCCCGCCCCCCGCCACCCGGGCCUCUGCCUGUGCUCCUCUAGUUCGGCUUGGUUUGGUUCAGUUUGGGCGGGUAUACCCCACCCCCCAAUUUUACAGCCCCCGCCGGCCCGGUGACCCCACACGCACACACAUACACGCACAAACACACACGCACCUGCGCCAGCACCGUCCGGCCGCGUGCCGGCACCACAUCCACCACACCCGCCACCAGCGCCCCCAGCCCCUCACGGCUCAGCGGAGCCCUGGCGCCCGCGGCGGCGCCGCCAGCCGCCGCCGCCUGCUGCUGCUCCACACGCACGCCGCCACCCCGGCCCGCGUCCGUGAGCCCAGCCACCUGCGGAGUGGGGACGGGAAAUUAUCGUAGGAGGAGAGGCAGGUGCAGCGCGGGGUGUGAAACGGGUGUGGGCGCGGGUGUGUGGUAGGGAAGCAGGUGCAGCGCCGGCGUGUCGCUGUGUGUAUAGAUGCGGCGGAUGCGGCACUACACUCGGCAUUCGCCAAAGUUUGUAGCUGCCCCCCUCCCCCUCCCCCUCCCCCUCCCCCUCCCCCUCCCCUCACCUGAACCAGGGUGUAGGGUAUGCCGCAUCGCCGCACCGCCUCCGCCGCCGCCGCGUCGCCCAGCCCCUUCAGGUCGCGCGCCGCCUCGCCGCCGCCCAGCAGACCGCCCAGGCUGAAGCCGCCGCCGCCCGCCGUGGCGCCCGGGGCUGCGGGACACACGGAUGCGUGUGUUAAACACAAAACAAACGGAACAACGGAUGCGUGUGUGUGUGUGUGUGUGCGUGCACAACGAAACCCGUGUGUGUGUGAUGUGCGCAUUCACAUGAAGCGGGCGUCAGCUGUGUGAACGGCAGUCACCUCUAAAACGUACGCACGCGCCCACGCCCAUUCGCACGCCCACGCCUGGGCUUGGUUCAACUGCACAGCGCCACCACCAAACCCACCCGCCGUCAGCAGCACCACGUGCGCCACCCGCGCCGCCCGCGCCGCCUCCAGCAGCGCCGGCCCGCCCGGCAGCCGCCCCAGCAGCACCAGCGCCUUGGACCCGCGGAGCGCCUUGCCGGGCGCCGCCGCCACCGCCUCCGCCGGCAGCGGCGUCGUGUAGGGGCCGUAGGCGUUCUUAGCGGCGGCCACGUCCUUGACAAGCAGCUUCAGCUCCUGCCUGUUAGUAGAGGUGUGUGCGGUUGUGUGUGCAUAUGUGUGUCAAAGAGGACAAGGAAAACAUUGCGCAAAGACAGUGUUUGUGAUGCAGCAAGUGUGUGUGUGUGUGGGCCGUCCACGGAGAACGGGUGUGUGUAAUGAUAUGAAGAACCGGGGGCGCAAGCUCCCACGCCGGCCCUCCGUCACGCAAACACAACACCGCAUCCACUCUCCCUUGAGUGCCACGCCGUUGCCAAGACGUAGGCCACGCUCUCCUUCUCGCUCUAUUGCAUUGGGUUCAGCUUAGUUUGGUCUGGUACCGUAUCUGCCACCCUCCUUCCUCCCCCACCUGGCCAGGAUGAGCUGCAGCACCACUUGCUCACCCACGCCGCCGUCCGCGUCCGUCACCAGCACAGCGUCGCCGGUGGGCGCCUGCUCCUCCGGCUCCUCCGGCUCCUGGGGAGGAGUUACAUUCACGAUUGGAUAAAGGAGUGAAGGCGUAGCCAGGAGCAGGAGUAUAGCAGGCGCGUUGUUGCCGAUGUCCGUGAAGUUUUGGGAGGGGGGAGUGAGGGAGGCGAGGAAGAGGGAGAGGGCGUGGGGGCAGGGGGAGGGCGUGCGUGUGGCCGGCGGCACACAGGUCAGCUGGUUGGAACGCCUGUUGCUUGGAAGUUGGAACGUGUAAAUUCUUCCGCCGGGCCGGGACUGCUUGGGGGCAGAACACCGUAGGCAGGCGCUGCUACGGGGACAAGUCUUUACUGUGCCCGAACAAACCAGACCAGGGCGAACGACGGCACCGGGGUCCCCAAAGGGGUUGGGCUGGGGCCGGCCCGGCUUGAUCCCUUGCCCCGGGCCGGCCAGGCAGUCGCCCCUACUACCCUGCCACCUUCUGGUAGAUGCGGUUCCGCUGCCACUGCCGCUGCCGCUGGCGCUCCUGCUUCUCACUGGAGGACUGCCGCUGCUGCUGUCCGGCCGCACAUGUGUCGUACACGUGCCAUACACGUCCGCCCUUGCUGCCAGCCCAUGCUUUCUGCCCUGCUGGGCCCACGCUUGCCAAGGCCACCUGCUGCCGCUGCUCAGUGCGCUUGUUUUCCUCGCCACGCUCUCAAUCGCGCCGCAUCGCACCCCACCGCACAUGAUGCAGGGGCGCGCCACCGUCGUCGCCACCGCUGCCGCUGCCCGGCUCCCCUUGCACGUCUGCUUUUCCCCGUGCCUGGCACCGCGCCCUACUGGUGCCGUGCGGUGCCCCAGUUCGGUAUCUGACCCAACCUUACGUAACCCCUCCAGAUUGUGUCUGCGAAUUGGUGCCCGCUGCCUUGAGGAUGGGAAACCAACCAGCCCGUUGCGCCCCCCCCCCCGCCCGCGGGACACGCACCUCCUCUGGCCCACCGUCGGUGAGACGCUCGCCCGCGCCAUACCACUUCCGCAGCUUUGGCCCAGCUGCAUUCAAAAUAUCAAACAGUACUUGUCAGGUCGGCAACCGAGGGACCGCAGUUUGCGCAAGGAUGCAGAGCGGGCCCUCUGCGCCAGGCAUUUGGCACUUGCAACUUGCGCUUGCAGCUUGCACUUGCCUGUUACGAAGUCUAACAGAUCAUCACCAAUCUUAUUUUGACGAACGACUAGUACCCGAGCCGGGUUUCGCAAGGAUGCACGCGGGAUGCAUUUUGGCCUCGAGCUGGGGUAUGUCCCGAGCGACCGGCCUAAAGUGGAGCUCAGCAUGUUUCCAAGUCUUAGUCUAUUGCGCUACCAAGCGAGCGUAAACACUUUGGCAGGCAUGAAGUCGCCCAUGCGCGUGCCAAACCCUGGACCCAGCGCGGAAGACGAACGCUGCCUGCCUCUUCCUCAUGAAAAGUCCAUGAAUAUUGCUUAGUUCAGCUCGCAAGUAUUCGUGUUCCUGGGUUCUGGACCGGCGUCAGAGCCGCCCUACCUUGCCACUCCCCUGCCCGCAGGUGCCCGCUCAGGGCCCCGUACCCGCCCCGCCCCAACCUGCCCACGUACAUCUUCUGUCAACGCAACGCCCCUGCAAUGUCGUGACAUGUCCAAAGUCGUAAAAACGCCCAGGGCGCUAAGGUGCGCUAUCUACACGUAGUAUGAGUGUUGCAAGGUUAGCUCGCAAGUAUUCUUGUUCCUGGGUUCUGGACCGGCGUCAGAACCGCCCUACCUUGCCACUCCCAUCCCCGCUCAGGGGCCCGCCCGUGCACACACCCGCCCACGCACACCUUCUGUUGACGCAACGCCCAUGCAUUGCUAUGACAUGUCCAAAUUUUUGCGAACGCCCAGGGCGCUGAGGUGCCCUAGCUACACAGGUAAGGACGGGGCGGCCAUCGGCAGUACGGCGGUUGCCGAAAUGGUACUGCAGCGAAUACUAUACACCGCGCAGAGCGACGUACAUUUUAUGUCUGGCCAUAAUGCUUCUCAUUAGGAGAUGUGGGGUGCUGCUGCGGGGGCAGCGCGCCCCGAAACUAGCGAGGCCAAGUGUGCUGGCGAAUUGCUCUCCUGCUCCGCAAAUGCCCAAGGAGCGGCUGGAGCUACUUGAUAGGUCUUGGUCGGACGCUGCCGAGCUGUACCUCAAGUAAGGAAGCGGCUUUUGCGGCUUUGACCGGGAAAUGGCACGGCAUUCAACCGAGAGAACUGGCUGUGGCCUUGCCAACACCCUUCUUUACAGAGAGCUCGCGCCGCGAUUUGACCCCUGGUUUCAGCUGGCGGUCAACGAGCUCAAGGCGCACGCCCUCCCUCCGGGCCCCGUCCUCGUGCCUUGCUGCGGUCCGGGUACGUUUAACCCACACUCCCUGACUCCCCGAACCCUGAAACCUCUGCAUCUCAGGCUAUAAGAAGAAGGCAAGUAAAUCGCAUCGCUUUUGCGCCGCAGGUCAGGAGCUGCUGCCCCUUCACGCGCUGUACGGAGGCCAGCGCCGCGUGGUGGGGCUGGAUCUGUCCCACGGCAUGAUUGACCUGGCCCGGGCCGCAAUCGCCGCCGGCUCCGCCACUGACACUCCAACUUCGCAUCAACAGCAAAAGCAGCAGCAGCAGCAGCAACAGCAGCAGCAGCAGCAGCGCAAAGGGGAGCCGGUGGAGGCGCAUGUGGCGGACGCAACGGCGCUGGAUGUCUACAGCCCGGCGGCGGCGGUGGUGUCGGUGUUCGGGCUGCAGCAGAUGGGCGCGCUGGCGCCGGCGGUGGGUCGGCGGGGGGCAGGCUGGCGUUGACUGGGUGGCACGGGUAGAGCUUGCGUGCUUACUGCUGGGGAUGAGGACAAGGGAGCGGCAAGAAGAGAGGACCGUGGGAGGACCCGACCGCGCCGCUGCUGCUCAUCUGCUGCCGGGUGGUCGCACGUGAUGGGUGGCAGCAUUGCAACAGCAGCAGCGGCUCUUUGACCUUGGGCCUGAAGCACGGGGUUUCGGUGGUAUCUGGCCGGGGCCCUCUGGCCGACCCUCGCCACCCAGCCCUUCCCAUGCCAGCUGCGCCACACACGCCGCCUGUCCUAACUCGCCGCAUUGCGCACACGCACUGCUCACAGGCUCUGGCCAACUGGGGCAGGUGCCUGGCUCCGGGCGGCGUGUGUGUGGUGGUGCUGUGGCCGUCGCGAGUGGAGGACAGCGGGCCCUGGUGCGCCUACGACCAGGUGCGGCCCAGGCCCAGGGAGGUGGGGGAGGUGGGGGAAGUGUGGAGGUUGGGUACACCGGAAUUAUGGUGGUGGGAAUGUGGAGGUUGGAUACCGUGUUUGUGGAGGUGGGGGAAGUGUGGAGGUGGGGUACCGUACUUGUGGUGGUGGGGGCAAUGUGCAGGGAGCAGGAGAUGAGAGGAGGGUAGGGAAGGUCGCUGGCCGGGGUGGGCUGCAGUGGGAAUGGGUUAGAAGAGGGGCGGAGACUGAUGACCAGCGGCGUGACAUGCACUCACCUCACAUCACUCCCACGCGCCUCCACCUCUCUCCACCCGACUCCUCCCCACCCUACUGCUCUGCACCUGCGUCGCAACUGCCCUCUUCAGGUGGUGCUAGAGAAGGCCGCGGCGGACAAGGGCCAGCCGCCGCCGCCGCCCGACGCCGCCGCCCGCGCGCAGCUGCACGAGUGGGAGCAGCGGCUGACAGAGCAAGUGCGAGCGGAGGCGGCCGCGGCGGAGGCGGGAGGCGAGGGCUGCGGCGUGGAAGUGCUGGUGCGUGGGUUUGACACGGAUCCUGUCGUACAUGGGCCUGUCGUCACGUGCAUCGGCGCACAGGGCCACAACUGUCGUGUGUAGGCGGGUGCGGGGCCGUAGGCACAUUUGCAACCCUGCUGAGCGUAUUUUGUGUCACUACCGCUUGUCGGUGCUUGUGCCCCACGCAUAAUUGUUGUGCCAAGCAUGUUCGGGCGGUCGCACACGGGCUGACGCCGCAACCGCCACCAUCACCACUGCCUCCGCCGCCACCGCCGUACAGGUGGACCGGCUGCAGGAAUACGAAAUGAGCUGGCCCUCGCCCGAGUACUUCUGGAGGGUGAGCCAGGCCGGCACGUGUGAGGGGGCGGGCGGGCGGGCGAGCGGGCUCCUGAUGCAGCAGCGGUUGUGUGCCUGUGUGCGUGGGUGCGUGCGCGUGCGUGCGUGCAUGCGGGCAUGCGGGCGGGUGUUCGGGCAUUCGUGGGGCCGUGCGGGCGCGGCCGUUUGGUCUGUACUGCGGUAGUGACUGUACUGUAGUAACACCGCGCUGUACUGUACUGCACGCCGUACGCACAGGUGAUGACGGAGGGCGGCCCCUGGCGGGCGCGGCGGUUUGCGCAGGGCGAGGCGGCCAUGUCCGACCUGGCCAACCGCUUCGCCGCAAAGUACGGCGGCAUGGGGUCGGAGCGGUACGGCAGUGUGAUGCUGUCGCACUCACCCGCCGCCCGGCUGGUGGUGCUGCAGCGGCGGCGGCAGCAGCCCUAGUGGCCGGCUCGGGACUGUUCCGAGUAAGCCACCAGAGACUCGGGCGGCACGGUACGUAAGACCACAAGAAAACGGACUGACACGUGCGGGAACAUGGCCGGCUGAUCGGGCUGCCCAGGAGAGCGUAGAUGAUGGUCAAUGAUGUCAGUUGCUUGGGGAACUACAUGCAUUUUUAGGCCAUGGGGGGCUCUGGGCCGCCCCUAUAAUGCGACAUUACAAGCACCAUGGGACAGCUCGGGGAUCAUCUCUGGCCUUGUGAACAACCUGGCAGGCGCUGCUGCGCUGCCAAUAAGAGCCACUGUGUGGCACGCAUGACGGACUCGCACACGCACGCACGCACGCACGUGAUAUUCGAGCCCUGAGGUCACACCGGUCAGUAGUAUGCAGCAUGGAUGAUUCGAUAAUUUUAUGCAUAAUUUGGCAUGUCUAAUGGACCAUGCCUCUAGCUUAUGGGAGUUAAUAAAGGCGCUAGCGUGUGAGAGUUUGACAGGCCCAAGCGCGCCACGUAUGACGGCGACGGUCUAUAGGGAGGUCGCGGUGCCUUUAUUUGCCGCAGCCACUUCACAGGCCCAUGCCCGAGGCUUGCCUGUCACUCCCUCCUUGCACGCAUGAUGCUCGGACGGAUAAAUCAAGCGAGGAGAUGCAGGAAGAAUUUGAAUGCGGUAUGUAUAUGAUUUAUCCUGUGUUCCUGAAAGACAUACAAUACAAGCGUGCAGAGGUAUAAGGUACAGCGUCGUGGCAAUGAUGCAUAGUUUGAGAUGCCUUGAUUGCCACAACACUACCGUACGUCUUGUCUGGAGAGGCAAUUAAUGGCAUCUCGUGCGAAGAGGCUGACACGGUCUUGUGUAGGCUUCAGCUGCUGUUUUGUUUGGCAUCACGUGACGGACCAAGGGGUGGGUUAGCUGAGGCAGAGACCCCUGAGGCUCCCCGCGCCCUUGGUCCUGACGCCAAAUAUCGUGAUUCGUAUUGAUUGCGUGGACGUGUGCUUGCGCGAUGGGGGCGAAAGCUCUUGUGUAUGCUUAUUGUGCCGGUCUGGUGUAUAGAUAUCAUCGGUAUUGAUUGGCCAGGUUUGACGCACCCAUGACGGACAAAGGCGCUGCAUGCUGCCCGGACCCGUGAGCAAAUGACUGGCGGCGCUCCGAGGUUUCUGCAGGUCGGCCCGUUGUACCGACGUGUCAAACAAAGCUGGUAACAUGGAAUGUACUUCCGCGCUGCGGCGCUGUAUGUUAUGCCGCUGUAAGUGCCACUGUGGCUGGGCUGGCAUACAUUUUGCAGCCGGCAUACGGUAAUGUUGCUGCCGCUGAGGUUUGAGGACGGUCGGCCUUAGACCCGGCCUUGUGUUAGUUCGAGGUUGGACGUGACAGGGUAGGGGAGGCAAGUGGCUGAUUCCCGAGGAACAAUGCAAGGUACCCCCAGCGCCGGUGCUGGUGAAAGCCAGGCUGGUCACGCUGACGCGUUUUCGGCGCGCAUGACGGACCGCAAGGAGAACUUAGAGGACUUGGGGACAUUUUCACGUACAUGCCCACGGGUUUGCCUUGCGUCCCGACGCCAAAAGUGUAACAGCUUGUCGUUUGCCGCUUGCCUGCCACCAUUUGCUUGAGCCGGCAAGGUAGCUUCCCGUAGGGAGCUCAGGGGAGCUCUGGGGAGCUUGCAAGCAAUGCGUGCAGCGGUCCCCACCCGUGACCCGUCCCCACCCUUCGUCCCUUCCUGCUGAUGUCUCCUGGCCGUUGGGGCCAACAAACCAGCCGCACAACCUGCAAUCUGGCCCCAAUCCGCGUGUGGCAUUGGCGUCGCAGCGCCAGGAAGCGGCAUGGGGGGCAGGUGAGUGAGCGCACGGCCGCAUGCGCCUUGCGCGGGGCCCCAUCAAAAUGGGCGCACCCCAAGAUCCCCACGCGGUCGAGGUCCACCCUGGUCCACCCAACUCUCCUCGUCUCGGCCUUCCGCACUCCAGUAACAUUUUCCUACAUGACGAUCUAUACCAACAAAGUUGCGUGACAGGUACCGUCGAAAUGCGAAAACAAUGUCGCUACUUCGUUUACGUUUACCUUGAGUUAAUCUUUAUUAGUAUAUUGUUGAGUUUUGAUCAUGCUCUGGCACAACCGUGGAACGAGCGCGCUUCUGGCGCGGACAGCUUCUCGGCGCUGAGGGCGGAAGUAUACCAGGUUUGUCAGAAACUAUAAGUAUCAUGCUUGAAUGAUGCCUAAGCGCGCCGAGGAGCUUCCUCCCCAACCUGCAGCCUCCUCCACGGCCUCCGCCUCGGCCCUGUCCUCGCCCCGCUCUGUAGGCACCUGUGCUCCUAGGAACGAGAGCGACCGCGCCAGCAUCUACCACUGACUCAGCCUCAGACUCCAACUCAGUCUCAGACUCAGCCUCGGACCCCAAUUCCAUCUCAGACUCGGUCUCAGGCACAAACUCGCACGUGCACUGGGACCCGCACGGGCCUCCAGGGGGCGCGGCGGGGCCGCGCCGGCUGCAGCAGGCAGACACGUCGGGGGCUGCAGCUACCCCUUCGUCCCCCGGCGCCUCAGACCAGGGCGCCCCGCCGCCGCCGCUGUUGGUGCCGCUGCUGCCGUACGGCCUUAGCAACCAGGUGGGCCUGCCUCAGGACCCGGACUUGCACCAGGGUCAUCACACCGUCCCUUCUUGUUAUGUCGCAUUCACACCGAGCACUGGCGUGGGCUUGGGACCUCAUCAUGGAGAUAAAGGACCGGGGCGGCAGGCUGGCUGCAGCUCCUUUCCACGGCGCGGCCGCAAACCGUGGCCGCCGCGGGCCCGCGCCCCUCCACUCGUUACCGCGAACCAGGACAACAGGGAUGAGCUCCGGGACCAGGAUGGGGACUGGCACGAUGAGGAUUUGGACUAGACCCGAGCUCUGGCGUAGGCCGCUAGGGACUCCCGUUGAGAUAGAGGACCGGGUUGCUCGGCUGGUGUGCUGGGCUGCUUGUAGCUUUUCUCUGUCGCGCGGCCCGGACCGUGGCCAGCGCUUUCCCCGGCCCCUCACACGCCCUGGUCAUCAGUCCUUCACACCCCAUCCUCACGCUCAACCCAUUUCCACUCCCAAUCCCAAUCCCACCGCACCUCCUGUGACCUACCAGUGCCCCCCGGGUGCCCUCGCAGGUGCUGGCGCUUAAAGAGGCUCUGGCGCUGGCCGCCGUGCUGGACUGGACCGUUGCCUCAUUUGGCUUCUGGCCACACAGCUCGGAGGUCGCGGCGGCAGAGAAGGCGGCGGCGGCGGGAGCAGCAAGAGAUGGUGGUGCAGGAGGUGGUGGUGCAGGACGUGGCGGUGGUGUGGCGGGCGCGGGGCCAGGGGCGCUGGCGGCGGCCGCCGCACUGGCGCCCAUCAUUCCCUUUGACCUCGUGUUCAGCCGGUGGGUAUGCCGCCAGGAGGGAAGGGGGCAGGGUCUGCACAGUACAGGGAGGGUGUCUGGGGAUUGCCAGGGGUUUGUCGGGGGGUUGCCCUGUGUCCCGUUGACGCACCUGUGCCGUUUUGCAGCACCUGCUCAUGACACUCGGCCAAAGCUUCCUCCCACUUCACCCGCAAACCCCUGUCUCCCUCGCAUGUUCACUGACUUCGGUAACUACGCACUGUACUACUGUUCCUAGCUACGCCUUUACUUCUUAAAUACUUAUGAAUGUAAUCCCCCCGACACGCACACCCCCAUUGCGGGCGGCACUGCAGGGAGUCGCUCGCGCCCGUGGUCCGUGUGCUGGGCUGGGAGGAGGCAGUGGCGAUACAGCAGCAGCAGCAGCAGCAGCAGCAGCGGGUGGCAGCGGACGGCAGUAGCAGCGGCAGUAGCAGCGGCAGUAGCAGCAGCAGCGGCAGCAGCGGCAGCACAGGGGCGGAGCGGCCGUUUCAAGUGGAGGGGGUGGUGUCACUCAGUCCUCUGUCGGGUUUCAGCAACACGUUAUCGAAGGUGCGUAGGGGAGGCUGGCAUGGAGGAGCCCAGGGGCCGGGGGGCAGCGGGAGGGUAGUUCAUCCUGAAACCCAAGCCCCAACAUAACCCAAGGGGAGCGUUCCGUUCCGGCACUGUCUUAACGGCAGCCGACGGGCACAACGCGCACGUGCAUGGAAGCAUGGGCUAUAUGUGCGGCGUCACAGCCAUCGACACGUUACCCUGCAUCACAGUACCACUAUCCUCACCAUCACCACCUCCUCCUGCGGGCCCCCACCACAGGCCAGCGCCUCGGGCUUUGUGGCUGUGCCCAAGAGCGCCAAAACACUGAGGAACCACGGCUUCAAGUGAGUCUGCUCGCACCCCACACAAUGUCUUACCGGGGAUGAUAAAUUCACAGUAUUGUACCCCCCCCUCCUCCGCUCGUUUGCCUGGGUUCAGUUUAGUUUGGGCUGGUAUCUACAACCCCCCCUGGCAGUUGGUAACUAAGUAUUGCGUCCAUGGAACACCCACGCGACCCUGGGCCAUUGCGGUCUUAUGGUCUGGCGUGCUGCCAACGGCCCGCCCCUGCCACUUUCCUCUCAUUCUUUUUCCUUCUUGCAUGCUGCUUACACUGCUUGCAUGAAAACGACUUAGCGCACGUGGCUCUCGCCUCGGCACACGGGGCACGCGCACAUGUGGCAUAAUGCCACACGGUGAUUCACACAAGGUCCCCUCAUCCUGACAAACACAUAACACAGAUGUGACGCAAAAGGUUUAGAGUGGCUGCGGAAUGCACUCGCCGGCGGCAGCCGCAGCAGUAGCGGCAGCAGCCGCAGCGAUAGCGACAGCAGUAGCAGCGGCCGCAGCAGUAGCAGUGAAGGCAGUAGCAGCAACGCGGGUGUGAUCAGCUGGUCGCGAUCGGCUGCGCUGUUCAGCUACCGGCGGGUGGUGCCGCCGGCGCGGAGCUCCUACCGGCCCUUCGCCAACGACACCAGCCCCUGUGCGCGAGCCUUUCACCAGGUGCGUUUGUGUGUGUGUGUGUGUGUGUGUGUGUGUGUGUGUGCGCGCGCGCGUGUGGGUGGGUGGGGUUGUGGGGUUGCUCUCACCAUUCCAAGUUCGAAAGUACGGGUCAGGCACGGGAGUGAGAAAUUGGUGGAUUUGGGGUGGGGGUCUGCGAUUCAGCCAAUGUUGAGGUAAUAUUUAGGAAAGUGCACCUGUAGUGUUUGUGGCCUGUCGCAUUGCACUGGGUGGCAUCCGGCACGUGUGGGGUCGCGAUGUCGCACCCGGCUACCCCUCACCCACUCACUGACUCACCCACUCACCGACCCUCUCACUCACCCACCCGCUCACCCACCCACUCACGCACCCACACCCACGGCCGCCUAACCCAACCGCUGCAGGUGACGCUGCGGCUGGCCCGCUCCGACCUGGUCGAAGCCACAGCCCGAGACUUCGUGGCGGCAGCGCUGCUGGGGAGCGGCGGCGGCAGCGGCGGCGGCGGCGGCAGGGGCGGCGGCGGCGGCAGGGGCGGCGGCGGCGGUGCUGGUGGCGGCGGCGACGACAGAGCGGCGUCCGAAGGCAGCAGUACGGCGUUGGAGGUGGCGGCGGAUGCCUCGGCUGCCGUACGUCCGCCGCCGCCGGUAGCGCCGUACUACGUGGCCCUGCACGUGCGGCCGUACCCGGACAGCUGCAUGGACUACUUUGUGAACAUGACCACAUUCGACCUGGCGGCCGCAAAAAAGGUGUGAGAGAAAUGUAUGGCUGUCAAAGUAACAAGACUGGUGCUCGCUAGCCCCAAAAUAAGCACCACGGUACAUUACGCACUCUGUAGGAAUGCUCAUUUGCUCGCUGGCAUACCCCGCGCCCCCGUGCCCGCCCCCCUCCUUCACUCCGUAAAUAACCAUGAAUGUAACCCCCCCCCCCCCCCGCACAUGCCCCCCGCAGGUGUGCCGCAACCCGCGGCUGCUGGCGCAGAUGGUGCCGCUGGUGCGACAGCGCAUCGCGGCACAGGCGGCGGCGGCGGGUGCCGGUGCCGGUGCUGGCGGGGGUGCUGGCGCUGGCGCGGGUGGUGCGGGCCCAUCAGGUACGGCGGGGGUGGGUUUGUUCGUCAUGUCGCACCCGCGUGUGCGGGACGUGGUGCGGCGCGAGCUGCGGCGGCUGUGGGCGGCAGCAGCACCCGCAGUAGCGGACCCCGCAUCUGACGGCGCUGGCAGUGGCGGCGGUAGCGGCAGUAGCGACAGUAGCGGCAGCAGCGACAGUAGCGGCAGUAGCAGGAGGCGGCUCGCGGGGGCCGGCAGGCCUAGGGGCGUGGGGGCUUCGGACGCGCUGGCAGCAGCAGCAGCAGCAGCCGGCGAUGGUGGCGCCGGGGAUGGAGACGGCGGCGCGGAGGCUGGUGACGAGCCAGCGGCAGCAGGGGCGGAGCAGCCGCAGACCCACGACCCGCCGCGUUACCAGGCGGCGGUGCCGCUGCCGCGGCUGUUCUUCAUCGACGUUGCGGACCUGCCGGGGGAGCUGCGGCACCACGUGAGUGUGCGUGUCGUGUGUGUGUGUGUGUAUGUGUGCGUGUGUGAGUGUGUGUGAGUGAGUGUGUGUGUGAGUGUGUGUGUGAGUGUGUGUGUGUGAGUGUGUGUGUGUGUGUGUGUGUGUGUGUGUGAGUGUGUGUGAGUGAGUGUGUGUGUGAGUGUGUGUGUGAGUGUGUGUGUGUGAGUGAGUGUGUGUGAGUGAGUGUAUGUGUGAGUGUGUGUGUGUGAGUGAGUGUGUGUGUGGCGUAUGGCGUGUGUGUGCCGUACUGCAGCAUGGCGUGGGUGCGGUGGGUGGGUGGGUGGGUGGGGCGGGUGGUCGCACGCGUGUCAGGGAGCACAGGUGGGUAGGCGGAGCUGUUGACGCCCGAUGAAGUGGGGGUUACAGCGGAUGUGGGGGAGCAGGGGGAUGUGGGGCAUGUCGAGUGGAUAAGGUCGUGCCACCAGUGUUGCAGCGCCCGUAAACCCUGCCACACACUGAGUGUGGUAGGUAGCGCCUGCGCGCGAUGACCAUGUCAGUUAGUGCCCCCGCCUUCUCCUUUCGAUAACUCGCUUUCCCCCCUCUCCCUCCUCCUCCUCCUCCUCCUCCUCCCCCUCCUCACCUCUCCCCCUCCUCCCCUCACUCGCCCUCGCCCCAGCUGGCCUCCACAAGCAUUCUAUCGCUGGUGGAGCAGCAGGUGCGCGCAGGUGCAUGUAGAGCGGGUAGAGCGCAAGGAAGCAAACCCGCAGGACGAAUGUUUAGGAAUAACUCAAGGGACAGGCGGACGGCGGGGUGCGUGUGCGGUCAGGAUUAUUGGAACUCAUACGGCACAUUAAAUUGUUAGGUAUACACUUAUACCGAACUACGGAAAUGCUUAUGUUUGAGUACGGUGGGAACGACAGUCUUGGGCUUUCAGCUGGUGGCGGCGGCGGGAGCCCCAGGUCCGCCCACACCGGUGUCUCACACCGGCCUUUCACACCGCCGGUGCUAGAGGCAACCAAGCGGUGUUCCAAUCCCCCGUCUCGCCUAUUCCUUGCUGCUGCAUGCCUUGCCACCCCACCUACCCGCUCUGUGACGGACGCAUGUUGCUCAUCUUCGCAACCCGCAGGUGUGUGCGGGUGCUGACGUGUUCGUCGGCACCGCCUCCUCGUCUAUCUCCGUCAUGGUGGCGCAGGUGGGGGCCGUGUGGGGGCAAUUAACAGUUUGUAACUUUUCUCAUGUCUCAUGUGGGGAUCAGUGGAGCAUUUGUUGGCGGUGUGUAGUUAGCGAUGGGGAGGGCGGUUUGUUCGUGUGCAGGUGCACAGGCGGGGUGGGAAGGUUUGGGGUAGAGGGCAGGGGUCAGGUUGGGGGGUGGAAGGUAGACGGCACGUGCCCUGACAAAACACACCGGUUCCACUGCGCCUUGGUUGUGUGCGCGCAGGAACGGACUGCAGCCGAUUGGGAGGCGUCGGCGCGGGGCGAGCCCAGUGGCCGAGUCACGGUGCUGCUGUAGGCUGUUUGCUGUGGUGACAAUCAUGAGGCCGAGCAAUGGCAGCAUGGAAGCGUGGAACGCACGAGGGCUCCGGCUGGCCGUGGCGUGCGUUUUGCCAUGAGUCCAUGACCCGAUAACUUCUCAAAGAGGAGCGAGGAGGUUAUUGUUAGUGUUGUUUAUUCAUUGAUAUUCAUAUUCAUGCAGUUGCUCGCUGCGUGUAUUCGUAAGAAGACAUGUCUGCGAGCAAAGAACUGAAAUUCGGACUGCAUGGUGACUUUACGUAUCAAAUGGCAGUGCUGCAUCACUCGCAAAGCUUGUCAACAUGUAAAGUCAGUGGGCCGGGCAAGUGCAGCGUGCAUGCCAUUUGUGACAGCACUGCUGCUCGUCUUCACCAGCGACUUGGCUGCAGCACUUCAGCGGCGGAACAGCAGCUGGACAGUUGACCCAGCAGCUAUUGCGCAGCACUGCGAGUAUGCUGGGUCGCGCUUCAACGCGAGCUAUGCCGGCGCACCAGCGUGUGCUCGCUACCUCGCGUCGGAAGCAUUCUACGUCCCCAGCUCGCAGCGGCCCCCCUCGGGCCGACUGCUGUUCCACAUGUUUUGGAGCGGCCCCUUCACAGAGGCGAUGCUGGUGAGGGGCUGGCGAGGGCCGUGGAGUGGGGGCAUGGCCUAAUGGGGGGGAGGGGAGCCAGGAUGAGCCAAGGAACGCGUGGCGUAGAGACGGAGGCACAGUAGAAACUAGGAAGCCGGGCUGGCAGGCGGCGCGCAUCCCCGCGUCCUGCCCCUCUACAGUUACAGCGUUGGUACGCCCGCUACCCGCCCCUGCCUGCCGUGCCCACCGCCCCACUGCCCCGCCGCCACAAUUCAUUCAUGCCCCCUUUCUAUGUCCCGACCACGACCCGCACCCCCACCCAGCUCUCCGUUCGCUCCUUCCUGUUCACGCAAGUGGCGCCAGUGGCAGCGGCCACACCUGCGCCGGGGCCAGCGUCUGCGGCCGCAACAGAAGGCGGCGAAAGCGCGGGGCCUGCUGGGGAACACAGCCGCCGCCGGAGGCUGCACAGCAGUAAACUAGGAGAGCAGCAGAAGCAGAAGCAAUGGCGGCGGCGGCAGCAGCAAGCGGGCCCUCAGCCGCCACCCGCGCCGCCGGAGCCCGCAGAGCUCUGGGUGUGGCUGGACCCCCAGUCGCAGCUGGCGGCGGACGGCAGUAGCAGCGGCAGUGGCAGUAGCAGUGGCAGCAGCAGUAGCAGUAGCAGUAGCAGGUACGGCGGCAGCGGCAGUAGCAGUAGUAGGUAUGGCAGCAGCAGCGGCAGUAGCAGGGCACUGUACAGUGCCGAGGAUCUGGAUCCAGAUAUGGACUUGCCCUUCCAACUGGUGAGCAGCAGCAGUAACAUCAGCAGAUGUUGUUGUUGUUGGUGGUGGUGGUGAUGGGGCCGCGGUGUGGAGGGGGGGGGGGCGCGGUGCGAGGUUGUUGAAACAUUGUGGAAGGAGGAAGGGGCUGAGAGUUCGGGAGGUCAAGAAACGCACACACCAGGGUGUACAGCGCCCAACGUGGUCCGUGGUGGGGCCCGGGGGAUCUGUCAUCUGCGCCCUGGAACCCAGUCACCCGCGCCUGUUUUGAACUUCUGAAAUGCGGGUGUGCACGCGUGUGCAGGUCAAUGGGAGGUCGGGGCGCGGGCGGCUGCCCAGGGCUCUCAACUGCUCCUGCGUCCGCUUCAAGCUGUACGAGUGAGUUGCUGUGUAGGGCUUCGCAAGACUUCACACGCGCAAACACACACUAGUACUUACGGUACUCUGAUGCGGCCCGCGCGGCCCCGUGCCUCCGCGGCCACUCCCUCCCCCCCCUCCCCCCCCCCCCGCUCCCUCUCCCGCUCCCGCUCUCCCCCAGUCUACCGCUGCUGCUGUCCCAGCUCCCCCCCGACCUCCUGCCGCCCUCCCUGCACGCCGCCGCGGCCGCCGCCGGAGAGCCCAUGCACAGCGUGCUGUGGCGCCUCCUCGCCCGCGCCCGCGACCGCGCGCGCCGCCAGCAGCAGGCGGCUGGUGGCGGCGGCGGCGCCGCCGCCGCCGCCGGCGGGAGCAUCAGCGGCGGCGGGCGCGGCGGCAGUGAUGCGGCGCGCUUCCUGCUGUUGUACUUGUACGGGGGCGUCUACAUGGAUGCCGAUGUGGGUUCCGGGCGAGUGUGGAGGGCCAGGGGGAAGGCGGUGGGGCCGGCGUGAGCCAGCACGCCAUGCAUGGGCAUCAAGCAAGCUGCCCAAGCCAAUCCUGGUAUCUAAUAUCAUGUGGCAAUUCAUUCCGCGCCCUGUGUUUCUUAAUCGUACUGUUUUGCGGCGCUUCAGGUGCUGUUGCUUCGCGACCUGCGGCCGCUGCGGCUCGCCGACUGGUCCUACCGCUGGUCGGCCCAGCCACACUGCAACACGGCGCUCAUGCACGGCCGCCGCGGGAGUGCCGUGCUGGGGGGCGUGCUGCGGGCGGCGGCGGGCAGGGCGUUCGCAGCCAAGCCGCCUGGCGGGGGAGGCAGGGGUGAGGGUGGGGUUGGAGGUGGAGUUGGAGAUGGGGUUGGAGGUGGGGGAGGAGAGGAGCGCGGGGAGGGGGGAAGGGGCGGAGGCAAGGAGACGGGGGAGGAGGAAGAGGAGGAAGAGGAGGAAGAGGAGGGGGAGGAGGGUCUUGCAGCUCCGCAGCAGGAGCGGGAGCAGCCGCACGGAGGGCGGCUUCAGGGGCAGGAGCAGGGGCAGGAGCAGGGGCAGUCUGGACACACGCAGAGGCGGAGGCGGAGGCGCAGAAGGGAGCUGCUGGGAGUCGGCGGUGGCGAGGCGGAUGAUGGAGCUGCCGGUGCUGCUGCUGCUGCAGUGGAGGCGGCGGCGGUGGCGGGGCCGGGGGUGCGUCCGCUGCACCACCUCAGUCGGGGCUGGGCGGCGGCCUUCCAUCCGCGCCGCGUGUGCCCCCAGGUGCGCCUGUUGACACCACCUGUCACCGUACGGCAGUGGAAUGCCGUACUGCUACCAGUAGCGGGCGUGGGUGUCUAAUAAGCGCAUAGGGUGGGUGGUACGGACAGCGGCAGGCGUGUGUGCGUGUGCGCCGCUCCAGGCUUGAAUCGGUGCACCGACAUGAUAAGCGUUGCCACACAACUCUCUUAAGCCUGAAGGAGAGUCCCGGCCCCUUGACGUACGGUUGUCUCUCAUGUUCUGACCGCUUGUGACUUGUGUCACGCCCGCGCAGCCCGACGCCACCACUCGCUUUGGAGACGACACGCUGAUGGUCUUCCCGGCACAGGUGCGGCCGCCGCAUUGUGGUUAUGUUCAGAUUGCAUGCCGACCAGGCACACGCUGGGCUUGGCGCACUUGGCCUCACGCUUCACAUCACGAACCCCUUGCACCCCCUUCCUGCGCAACCGCCCUGCCCCUCUGCCCCGCACCCCUUCCCACCACAUCUCCCUCCCCUAUUUCGCUGGGCUCGGGCUUAUUACCCCCCCGCCCCCCCCCCCCCACACACACAUACACGUGCAGCUGUUCGACGUGUCGUGGCUGCGCCACGACGGCUUCGCCCCCGGCGGCUGGGAGGGGCUGCCCGGUGAGUGGCCGCGUGGGGGCACCGUGGGGCAUGGGGACGCAGCCGCUGCAGCGACACGUGCGUGUGGGUACAAGGAAGUGCCACACGAUCUUUCUGCCUCGUGAACACCGAAGGCCCGGGCCGGGGGGGGCCUUACGGGCGCAGCCGCUGCAGCGCAGCACCAGGCAGCCAUGGGGUGGUGCCUUGGUUCCUUGCCGGAGGCUGCUAGUGGCUGACUGCCUUGGCGAUAUGCCGCGGUGUGUCGGCGUCGUGACUCUUGAGGCAUAGCAGCCGUGCGGUACGGUACUCCAGUGUCCGUACGCAUGUCCUGCAUUCGAUGCCAAACACACCUGCUCCCUACACGUCCCUACCUGCAGUGUAUGAGUCCUUCUUCCGGGCGCCGUCAAACUCAACGUCCGCGGGCACCAGCACCGGCGGCGCGCCGACUGGGCGGCGGCGCAGGCGGCAGCAGCGGCAGGAGCAGGAGCAGCGGCGCCGUGAGGAGGGUGGCGGCGGCGCCGCGGCCACCGCCGCCGCCGCGGCGGGCUCGGGGCAGUACCCGGGCCCGAACGCGACCGUGCAGGAGUUUGGGUUAGGCGGCUUGCUGGCCUUCCAUUGGCAUAACCAGGUAGGCUCUAGUUGGGACCCAGCGCACCGUGUGUGUGGGGGGAUGCCCCGCCGCCCCCCUUCGGGUGCAAUGCCGGCGGCGCGUGUGUGCCACGCGUGUGCGGGGCGGGUGUGCGGGGCGGGUGUGGGGUGCGGUAUGAACCAAGGGUUCGGGUUCCGGGUUCGUGUGUGUGCACCCCGCCUGCUCGGCGGGGGGCACCGUGGGAAUUCAUGUCCAGUUGCGAACUGGCACACGCUUUGUAGCAUGCUGCCUGAAACGCUGCGACCUGACCACUGCUCUUGCACGGCUGCACCCACCCACUGCCGCCACUGCCUUGCUGCCCGCUGUCCCCCGUGCCCCUGGCCUCCUCCCUCCUUCCGCCCGCUGCGCUCAUUGCCUGCCUCUCGCGCCCCAACUCCACAUAUGCACAGUGGCACGCGCGGCCGCAGCCCGGCUCCUGGGCCGCGCUGUUCGACUCCGCCAUGAGCGCGUUUGAGCGGGGCAACGGGACCAGCAUGUACGGCGAGCGGUACGGCGACGCGGCGGCGGCGUGUACGGCAGCGCGGACGGCGGCGGGGGGCCGGUGGCGGCCGUAGCUCGUGUGGAUGCAAUGGAAUGGAGCCAGGAGUAAGCGUUCGUGUCUCAGACGGUGCGCUCAGGCGCAUGCAGAAGCAUGCAGGAAGGGAGCGUCGACAGGACUCGCAUGCGAUGGGAAGAUGGGGCUAUGUGCUGGAGAGGCGGAGAGCCAAUCGUCUGUUGCUUUCCCAUAGUCACCACCCCGGGCGCAUUGCCGCACGUGCUGCCAAUCUGUCUGUGACUCGGUGACCUUGACUCCGUGAUUGCAAUGCCUGUUUGUGACUCCGAACGACCACAGGCGUGGCGCCGGUCGGCCCUAGCCCGGCCGUGGCACCGAAGAAAAGUGCCCAGGGAUCGGCUGGUAGAGAGCUGGCGGAUUUCAAGCCGUCUGUAGCGGGGGCAGCUCACAGUUCGCAAACCCGCAAGACCAGUUACGUGCACCAGCAUCUCCUCUAAGCAGCCACCCAGGGUUCUUCCCUUUCGGCGCUAAGUCGGCUUCGGUCGGCUCCAAUUCCGGUACACAAUUGCUUUGGGAAGGUAUGCACUUUUCCGCGGGCCUUCCUCGAGCGCCGCGUUUUAGCUAGGCCCAAGUGCCGAACAUAUAGAGCAUUACAUAUGGGCACAAUCGGCGCACAGUGUCGUGACAGGGGGCUCGACUUGCUGCCCAACGGCAAACAACGGACUUCCGGGAGGCCUCCGAGACUGAGCAAAUAUAAAAGCAGCUAGAGACGUCUCGUUGCUGCAAUUCUUGUCGCAGGUGAUACAAAUCGGCGCGGCAUGGCUCAUGUCGUGCAAUCGCUCGGCUGUUAUUUACCCCCUGGCCCCUGAAACGUUUCUCCAUUCCAGACCCUGAGCUUAUAAUAGGAUUACAGAUAGCGACACACACACGCGAAGAGACCUAAAGCCCCAGGGCACAGAGUAUUGAUUUGUGCUCCGACACUCGCUCGACGCCUGACUUGCUGGCGGAAACUUAGCAAGCCUGAGCUCAAUUGCCCUCAUAAGCCAUACCCGCUGAGGUGAGCGCGCGCGGCGUGGCAGCGACCAGGGCUCAGCAGUCACGGAUUCUGCAUGAUUACGCAACACCUACGAACCGCGCACCGAUGGCCCUAUCCUACAUUAAGAGCUUGCGCAAUUGAUCUGUCUGGAGCUUGAUGCAACAGCAGCCGCGCGCCCUUUAACCUUGUACCGGUGCGCUUUAGUCGGUUGCUCCCCUCUGACCGUCGGGCCCUAUGUCUUGCUGCCUGUGCAGGGUCGCCUCAUAGGCAAGAUGGAGGCCCACCUCAAAGCUCCCGCUGUGGGCAAGAUCUGUCGCCAGGGCCAAGUUGCCCGGGCGUUGGUCCCCGCCGCUGCUGGGUGAGUUCCGUUGCGUAGGUUAUGUCGCUGCUGUGUGGCUUUGUCUGCUUGCAACACGAGUCGAUCGCGUGUGCGAGGGCGGCUUGAGCACGUGUCGAGAACUUCCGGCUUCCGGCGCAGUUGUGUCGGCAGGGGUUUCGCGAGCAGCAGUCUCGUGCCUGCUGCCGCAGCUUGCUUCACCAACAUCACCAACGUAUUGCCAUGAUUAUGGAAUGGUCCGCGCGCCUGGCUAACUAGCUAGCUUCCGGCAUCCAAGGGCGCAACACCCGCGCCACCUUCCCUCGCCUCCCUCCUCACCCCUACCUCAUAAUUUGUUCCCGCCAUGCCUUACCCAUUCUCGGCCCGCCCCGUCACUUCGUUCCCUCAACAGCCGCGCCACCAACGCCAAGCGCGCUGCUGUCACCGUGAUGGCCACUCCCCCCGAGGCCCCCGGCGCUGGCACCGCCUCCGCCCCUGGGGACUACAAGACGGCCGCUGCCACCACCACCACCACCACCACCACCACCGGCCAGACCGCCAGCAACCUGGUGGUGUUCCCCAGCCCGGCCGUGGUCAGCAGCGCUGGCAAGCCCGGCGGCAAGAUGGUGAGUGCUGCUGCCCUCAGAGCUCAGGCGCACAUCACAUCACAUCAUCAAGGCCUCCCGGCGGCGUGCAUCCCACGUGCCUGCUGCCCGCGGCCUGCCUGAUGCCCCUGCUUGCUGCCCUGCCUACGGUAUCCACCGAGCGAGUUCCAACAGCCACACCUGCUGCACGGGCUCGAGCGAAGUUGCACCACGCACUCCCCAGGCCUGCCUUGCUUGCCCUUGCUGCCCUGCCUACAUACCAUAUCCAUCAACUUACUUCCAGCAGCAGCAGCCACACCUGCACGGGCUCGAGCGAGGUCGCACAAUUCCCAAAACCCCGCUGAACCCCAGCUAGCGGCUUAUUAACCCGGGCACCGCCGCUCCCCCUCUCCCGCCCUCCGCUCCUGCUGAUCAGGCGCCCAUGGACGGCAAUGAGGCCACCGCGCUCAUCGCCUACGCCGUGUCCGACGUGUCCUUCAUCUACCCCAUCACCCCCGCCACCAACAUGGGCGAGAUGGUGGACCAGUGGGCCUCCGAGGGCCGCACCAACGUCUUCAACAACGUCAUGUCCGUGACCGAGAUGGAGUCGGAGACGGGCGCCGCCGGCGCGCUGCACGGCGCGCUGGCCGCCGGCGCGCUGGCCACCACCUUCACCUGCUCGCAGGGCCUGCUGCUGAUGGUGCCCAACAUGUACAAGAUCGCCGGCGAGCUGACGCCCUGCGUGCUGCACGUGACCGCCCGCGCGCUGGCCAAGCACGCGCUGUCCAUCUUCGGCGACCACCAGGACGUGAUGGCCGUCCGCCAGGUGGGAGCGAGGGAAGGGGGUAGGCAGCGGCCGUGGGCAGCGAGGCAAGGGGGUAGGGCUAGGCAGCGGGCGUGGCUGGGCCGCGGGGGUCUGGAGACUGGAUGGAUGGAUGGAUGGAUGGGUGGGUUGCUAGCAAGGAUGGGCGGGAGCGAGGCGCUCAGGUUUUGGCAACGGACUGCCUAGGCCUGGUACAUACGGCAUGCACAGGGUGUGUGUGCGCGCAAGCAGGAUCACGCCGCGGGCUGGCUCAACCCACUGACGCCCUUCGCCCCCUUUCCCUCCCUCUACCCCUGCCCCUUCCCCCUCUCCCUUCCUUGACUAUUGGGACCUAAUGCAUUGGGCUCGGGCACAUAACACCUGCCCCUCUCCCCCCCCCCCCGCCUCUCCCUCCCCCUCCAGACCGGCUGGGCCAUGCUGUGCAGCCACAGUGUGCAGGAGGCGCACGACCUGGCGCUGGUCUCCCACCUGGCCACACUGCGCGCCUCCGUGCCCUUCGUACACUUCUUCGACGGCUUCCGCACCAGCCACGAGAUCAACACCAUCCACCUCAUCGACAACGAGGCCAUCAAGUCCAUCCUGGCCAAGCCCAUCUACCAGGACGCCAUCAAGCACCACCGCGCCCGCGCGCUCAACCCCACCCACCCGCACCAGCGCGGCACGGCGCAGGGCCCCGACGUGUACUUCCAGUGCGCCGAGGCCGCCAACCCCUUCUACGACCGCGCCUACGACCACGUGGCCGCGGCCAUGGAGGAGGUGCGUGAGCGCGCGAGCAGGAGCGGGGAUGGUGAGGGGAUAGGGGGAGGGAAGGAGGAGGGAAGGGGAAGGAGGAGGGAAGGGGAAGGAGGAGGGAAGGAGGUGGGAAGGAGGAGGAAAAGGGGCACAGGGAAUAGGGAGGGCGUAGUGGAUGGUGGAUACGUGAAUGUUGGGGGUUGGGAAUCGAGGGGUGCAGGCAACAGAAGCGGGAUGCACGAGGAAGGUGAAAAAGCUGUUCUGGGUUACGCCUUUAACUGUCCGCAACUCCACGCGCGCAGGUGUCUGCCGUCACCGGCCGCGUGUACAAGCCGUACGAGUACGUGGGCGCCCCCGACGCCGACAAGGUCAUCGUCCUCAUGGGCUCCGGCUCCGCCGCAGUGGAGGAGGCGGUCAACUACCUGAACGCCCAGGGCAAGAAGGUCGGCGUGCUCAAGGUAUGGGAAGGCUUGGGCUUGCUUGGGUUCACGGGAACACACGUGAUUCCGAGCAGUAACGUUUUGGCAGCGGGCACGCACGCACGCACGCCACAAGUCUUUGGGUUUGGUGAUUUGGGUUUGGUGAUGACAUGCUCCUGGGCGGGUUAGUUCUAACCUACCGUGCAAUAAUUGCAAACCCCCGCCGCGCACCGGGCGUGUUGGUGAUGACAUGGCCCGCCCUGGGCGGGUUCUAACCUACGUACCGUACAAAUGCAAACCGCCCCGCCGCGCACAGGUGCGCCUGUACCGCCCCUGGAACAGCAAGGUGCUGCUGGCGCAGAUCCCCGCCACCGUGCGCAAGGUGGCCGUGCUGGACCGCACCAAGGAGCCGGGCUCCGGCGGCGAGCCACUGUACCAGCAGAUCGCCAUGACGCUGCACGAGGCGGAGAUGGCCGACCCCGCGCUGCCGUGAGUGUUGUUUAUUUGAUCGGCUUGGGGAUUUUCCUAGGGUUCUGAGCAGUGCAAUUGGGGCGUGGCGUCCGUGCAAGGAGCGGCAAGGUGAAGCGUUGGUUGGGAAACCGGAAUGCAACGGGCCAGGUUGGACGGGUGAACGGUAUGCUGUUGGUGGCGGUCGCCUUGCUCUUCACACGCCCCCGCGUUUUGCCCCUCCCCACCGCGCACAUCCAGGCGCCGCUACAUUGUGGGCGGCCGCUUCGGCCUGGCGUCCAAGGAGUUCCUGCCCAGCCACGCGGCCGCGGUGUUUGAGAACCUGGACGCCAAGAAGCCCCUGCGCGACUUCUCUGUGGGCAUCAUGGACGACGUCACACACCGCAGCCUGCCCGACAGCAGGUGGCUGCCGCUGGGCACCCGCACGCUUCCCAAGGGCACCUUCGAGUGCCUGUUCUGGGGCAUGGGCUCCGACGGCACCGUGGGCGCCAACAAGGAGGCCAUCAAGAUCAUCGCCAGCUCCGCCGGCAUGAGCGCGCAGGCCUACUUCUCCUACGACGCGCACAAGUCCGGCGGCGUGACGGUGUCGCACCUGCGCUUCGGCCCCAGCCCGAUCGACUCGCCGUACCUGGUGCAGCAGGCCGACUACCUGGCCGUCAACCACCAGUCCUACAUGGCCAAAUACGACACGCUGGCCAGCCUCAAACCCGGCGGCGUGCUGGUGCUCAACACCGUCUUCACCAGCCCCGACAGCCUGGGCAAGUACCUGCCCGACAAGGUCAAGAAGCAGAUCGCCGCGCUCAAGCCGCAGCUGUAUGUCAUCGACGCGCAGUCGGUGGCCAAGGCCUCGGGCCUGGGCAAGCACGUCAACAUGGUGAUGCAGACCGUGUUCUUCAACCUGUCCGGCGUGCUGCCCAUGGAGAAGGCGCUCGCGCUGCUGAAGAAGUCCAUCACCAAGGCCUACGAGCGCAAGGGCCCCGAGGUGGUGGCCAAGAACCACUCGGCGGUGGACAUGGCGGUGGCGGCGCUGAAGAAGCUGGACAUUCCCGCCUCCUGGUCCAGCCUGCCCACGCAUGUGGUCAACCCCAACCCGCCGGCCAAGGGCAACACCAGCCGCUGGGAGUUCAUCGAGACCGUGGCCAAGCCCAUGCUGGCACUGGAGGGCGAUAAGCUGCCCGUGUCGGUGUUCAGCCCCGAGGGCUUCGUGCCGCCCGGCACCACCGUCAUUGAGAAGCGCGCCAUCGCGGCGCAGGUGCCCAUCUGGAAGGCCGAGAACUGCACGCAGUGCAACAUCUGCGCCUUCGUGUGCCCGCACGCCGCCAUCCGCCCCGCGCUGGCCAGCCCCGCCGACCUGGUGGGCGCGCCCGCCACCUUUGGCACCAUCCAGGCCAAGGGCCCCGGCAUGGGCGACCUCAAGUAUCGCAUCCAGGUGUCGCCCUACGACUGCACCGGCUGCGACCUGUGCACGCACGCCUGCCCCGACGACGCGCUGCAGUCCGUGCCCAUCAACUCGGUGCUAGAGGUGGAGACCGCCAACUGGGACUUUGCCGGCACGCUGCCCGCGCGCACCGACAUCAUGGACAAGGCCACCGUCAAGGGCAGCCAGCUGCAGCCCCCGCUGAUGGAGUUCUCCGGCGCCUGCGAGGGCUGCGGCGAGACGCCCUACGUCAAGCUGCUGACGCAGGCAAGUUAUUGGGAAGGCGGGGAGUGGCGGGCAGUCCUGGGAGUCCCAACUGCAUCGCAUGUACGUUUGCCUUGCGGAGGCAGAUCAAUGCCGCCGGGGCUGACCUCCAAGCGUGACGUUAGUACACGCAUCCCACCUACGCAUUCUUGUGAAUGAUCAGAAAAGUGGGUUUUGUUUUGUGCACGCCUGCUGACGCAGCUCUUUGGCGACCGCCUGAUCAUCGCCAACGCCACCGGCUGCUCGUCCAUCUGGGGCGGCUCCGCGCCCUCCAACCCCUACACCACCAACGCCGACGGCUACGGCCCCGCCUGGGCCAACUCGCUGUUUGAGGACAAC